UUUCUUCGAUCUCUAACUAACAAACUUAAACCAAUAUCUAUAACUCUAUAUGAAUCCCCAAUAAAAUUGAUGACAUGGCAAGCCCUCUUUUUUUAAAAUUUUUUAAAUUUUUUAUAUUUUUUAAUGGUGGUUCAUUCUUCUUUAUUCUUACAUUUAAUGUUCUUAAUAGUUAUAAUUCCAUUAAUACUCACCUCUUAAUUACUCUUUAAUUUUAUUUAUAUCUCCUUUAAAUUUUUUAAUAGUGAAAUAUUUAAGACAUCUAUCUAUACUCUUAUAUGAAUCCCCAAUAGAUAAAGCUGAUGUGGCACAACAUUAUUUUUUUGAAUUUUUUUUUAAAAAAACAGCAAUAGAAUAAAUCAAAUAAUGACUAAUUAAUAAUUAAUAAUAUAGUAUUAUUUAUUACCAUAUACAAGACUGUUGGACUUCUCAAAUAGUUAAUAGUUAUUCCCUAUAAAUUAAUUUUGAAAGUUACUAAAUUACCAUAUUUUUUCUUAUANACUGUCUAAUUAUUGCCCAAGAAUAAUUGCUUCAGUUUUAUAUGUUUAUAUUUUUACUAUCUUAUUAUAUUUAAUGUUGCUAAUGAUAGCUAUAUAUUACAUGCAUAUGUUUUUCUUUCCUAAUUAAUUAAAUAAAUACUAUAUUUUAGAUAACAAAUUAAUAUAUGGUAGUAAAUAUAGCUUCUCCAAAUCCUAAAUCCUAAAAUCCCAACCUUUCCUCUCCCUCCGCACCCUCCCUCGCCACCGCCCCUCCGAUCGGUGGCGCCUCCUCUCCGCCGGCCCCGCCGCCGUCCACACGGCGGUGGCCAUCUAAAAGGAGACCUCGGAGGAGGAGCGGCUAGAGACCUUCCUCCGCAUGGCGGACCUCACUACUGCCACGUCCGUGCACCCGCAGUUCGAGCGGAUGAUCCGCGAGGCCCUUGACGAGAUGUGCGCGGCGCUCAAGGCCGUGGACGGGGGUGCCGCGUUCAAGGAGGAUGUGUGAUCGCGCCCAUUUGCAACAAUUUCGAACUCUUAUACGACCCCCACUCUUACCCUCGAUCACUCCUUUCUCGAAAAAAAGUAAGAACUCUAUAAGUUUUUAAUUUUUAUCCGCCGCAUCGCGUGAAUUCCUACACUAUAUACAUUAUUACUAAACUGAAAAUAUAACUAAAAUAUCUCUAUUUCCGAUAUAGGACAACUCAUUCUUUUUUAUACUAUUCAUAAAAAUUUAGGCAUAGAGUGGAGUUUAAUAUCUAAAUUUUUUUCGACAGCUUUAUUUAUUUAUUUAUUUAUACAGAAUCUACCCGCUGCAACGCGCGGGUGCCUUCACUAGUAGUAAUUGUAUUCGGGUACGUUUUCUUUUUUUUUGCUGGUAUUAUCAAAUCAAUCACAAUAAAUUCAUCACCUGCGGAAUGAAAAAUAAUUGGCAUCAUUUCCACAUUUUAAUAUUUUUCUUUCUAAACGUUCUAGAGUCUUUAUACCGUAUAAGAAACUACAAAGCCAUUAAUACAUGCCACACAUGGGCACUACGUAUUGUGAUCCUUCACUACUCUGAAGCUGAUCAUUAAACUCGUUUUUUCAUUCUAUUAAGCACACUUCCUUUUAUUUGCGACAAACUUUCUUGCUAUAGUAUUUGAAUACUAAAUUAGUUGUUUGGAGCAGUAACGUUCCAUAUAUCUUUGAGCACUUUAGAAUAAAACUCUACCAACUUGUCAGCUUCCGGAAUAUGCUCCUUCACGCCUAUGACGGAGCCGAAGCGCUCUGCCCAUUUCGCUAAGAGAGGAAACUUUGCAUCGUCGAUGAGUUUGAUACUCGAUAUCUUCUCUAUCAUCUUCACCCAGCCCAGAAAGCUUCCGAAAGUGAUGUCGAGAUAGCCCACGUUGUUUCCGCCGAAGAAGGGCUUCCCUUUGAAGCUUUUCUCAUAAGCUUCUUCUAGUAAACUAAGUCCUACGAACGAUUGCUCAAUAGCUUCUGCUUUCUCUUUUUCUGUCUUUACCUUGAUAUACUUUGGUAAAGUAGGAAACCACUGCAUAUAAAAAGAAGCAGGGAUACAGAAAAAAAAAAACACUAUAUAAAUCUUUUGAUUUAUUGUAAUACCACUUAGUAACAAACACGAUGAAAUAUGUUAGAAGUGAAAAGUUAUACACUACUAUCAGCAAUUCUGCAAUUGAGACUUGAAUCCAAAACCCCUCCCAAAUCCAAAGUCACGCCUUACCACUGGUUUGGCUUCGUGGGUCGAAAUUGAGAUGAAUAUCUAAUAUUUGCAGAUAGGGCAUUGUCAUAAAUGAAAUUACUAAGACAACUAAGUCCAAUAUUUUUUUUCACUGUUCUUUAACAUCUAGCAACCAGUUUGUGUUUGCCCUAGAUUAUUUUAGAAUCAGUUGCUCUACUGAAUCAAAAUGAUUUCCGAUAAAGUAUAAGUAGGACCAAACAAACUCCAAAGCUAGAAUAAUAACAUACCGUGUCGUCAAUAUAGCCGGCCCAAAAGCGCGCGGUGGCGCGUUCAUAUGGAUCCGAGGGAAGGAUCGACGGCCCAGUUCCGGCCCACACUUCGUCGAUGUAUUGGACGAUGAUCGCGGACUCGCAAAUGGGCCGGUCGUUGUGGAUCAAAACUGGCACCUUCUUGUAAACGGGGUUUGAUUUGAGCAGGAGCUCACUCUGAUUUUCCCAAAGUUGUUGCUCCAGGUACUCGUAGCUCACCCCCUUGAGUUCCAAAGCAAUUUUUACUCUAAUCACGUAGGGACUUGGCCACGCUCCUAAGAGCUUCACUUCGUCUCCUGACGCUGCCAUAUUAUAUGGGGCAAUAUAUAUAGUUUUCUCGCAAAAUGGAAUCGUUAAUAAGUAAACAAUUAUUCGGAGAUGGGCAACAAAUUUGGUGUGGUUUUGGGGUUUUAUGUUGAUGUGGGUAUUUAUAAUAGAGAGUUAGGAAAGAAGUGGUUGGGUAGGUGAUGAAAUGUGUGGUGGAAUAUGUUAGCUUUGUGGAGGUUAGUUGAAUGGUGCUAUAGAUAUUUAAAUACAGUUGAACGCCUCGUCUUGUGUCUUUAAUGAGUUGUUUUCAUGUUGAUAAAUAAUAUAUUAUUCUUAAGGGGCAAUCUGAAAAGUUUCAAGGUUUUUUUAAUUUACUCUAUUUAAAAGACUAAUAUAAAAAUAUUUUUUCGCUGUUUUAAAUUCUUUCAGAUAUAUCCUAAGAGUUUAAUUUUGAUAGUAAACUGUUAAAAAUAGUUAUUAUUUCUAUAAAAAUACUAAUUUGUCCUUUCAAAUAUAUCCUUCUACUGUCACCAACUUUUUUUUUUUUAUUCUUAAGUUAGGGAUAAAAAGGUAUUUUGAUCUUUUAUCCUUUUAAUUAAAUAUGUACUUUUACUAUCACAAAUUUUUCUUAUUUAUCCUUAAGUUAGAAACAAAAAAAAUAUUUGACUUUUUUUUUUUAACUCUGAUAGAAAUUUAAUCCGAAUUUAACCAAAGAUGAUUUAACGGAUCCUACUGGCAGAGUUAUUUUUGAAUAACUGAAAAAUAUACAAUGGAUAUGUUUUACACAGAAAAAAGUAGGAAUAUAUAUGAUGUUUUAGAAGUUUUGGAAGAUAUAUAGUUAAUUCUUCUUACUUUUAAAUUUCAUACACAAAUUAAUUAGAAUUUUUUUUUCUUAUAUUUAUUAAUAUAUGUAGCCUUAUUUGGAUAUCGAAAUAUUAUAUUUAAUAACAGCUUAUUCCAUAUUAAACUUUUUUAUAAUAUUGAAAACUAGAAUUUUAAUUUUUAUAUUCCUUAGAAGGUCAUGACGUCUAUAAUUUAAUUAAAUAAUAUAUUUUAUCUAUAGAAUAAUUUAUUUUAUUUUAAAAGAUAAUUUAAAGAAAAAAAUAUGAUAUCUAACCUUGAAAUUAAGAUGAUUAAUCACAUAAAUGGGUCAACUACAUGAGCGUGCUUUUCCAUUUUGGAUCUGAUUUACUUCGUCGUUGCUGAUGUAUGCUAAUUUGACCCAUCUCGAGAAGUAUUUUUAUAUUGAUUUUUUUUUUUUUUUCCGAACUUGUCUUUUGAAUUUUGUGCUUGGAGUAGAAGAUACUGACUAAUUAUAGUGAUAAGCUUAAUUUUAUAAGCCUUUUCUUAUCUGUUGGGCCCAUUUGGCUCUUAUUAGGUAGUACUAAUUAUUUUAACCUAACUAGUAAUUUUUUAUUUUAUAAUUAAUAAUUUUGUGUUAUUAUUAUUAUUAGUGUCAGUGGUUUUUUAUAUAUCUAAUCAUAAUUUUCGAUGUGGGACAUUGGGACAAUUGGGAUUUAUCUCAUACACAUAGUCCAAUAUCAUCAGACGAUAUGAGAUUUAUCCCGCUAGUCUUGUCUUUUAAAGCCUAUUAUAGCUUGUCAUUCCCUAUUUCUGGCUUAAGCUGUUAUUCAGACCUUGCCUCACCGAGACUCAUCUCGCACUUCCAGCGAAUGAUUGGAUUUGAUAUCAAAUGUAACAAUCCAACCUGCUGGCGAUAAUAAUUCGUUCAAUUCAAACCAUCAACUCAAAAAUAUUUAAGUGCUAUUAUUACUAGGGCACGAGGCAUCACAUAUUUUCAAUUUGUAUUCUUUUUUCAUCCGAUGCAGAAUUAUUGGGACAUUACGUAGGACUGUAAUCGGUUCGGUUUGGUUCGGUUUUGGGGUAAAUCGUUAACCAAAUCAAAUUCUUUGGUUUGAAGAAAAUACAUAUGAGGCAAACCGAACUAAGAACUGAUCCAAACCAAACCAAAUUAAUUCGAUUUGGUUUCGUUCAGUUCGGUUUUACAAUAAUUUUUAGAUUUUUUAAUAAAUUAAUUUAUAAUUUGAGAUUCAAAAUUGAAUUAUUAUGAAAUCACACACAAAAUAUUUAAACAUAAAAUAUAGUUUUAAAAAAUAUGUUGAUAUAAUUUUGAUUUGAUCAUAAAUAUAAAAUUUUAAAUAGUUUAGAUAAUAAGUGUGAAAUAUAUUACUAUUAGUUUUGGGUUCGGUUUGGUUAAGUAAUGUGUUCAAAUUGAACUGAAACCAAAAUCCAAAUUUUAAUAAAUUUCAAAAUCGAACCGAACCGAAAACCAUAUAAAUCGAAUCAAAUAGUCUUCUUUGAUUUGGUUCAGUUUGCUUUCCUAUUUGGAACCAAACCGUCUAUUUGGAACCAAACCGUGCACGCCCCGUCUUUAUUCUAAUCGUAAAUUAACACAUAUUUCGGCCAUUUUUAUCAUAUUGGCUUUAUGGGUAACAUGAUAUCAGAAUUAAUCAUAAAUCCUUUUGUUUCCAAAAAUUCUGAUUUUGAUUUCGAUUCUUAUAUUUGUCAUUUUAUACUAGACUGAUAUUUUGUCUCAUAGUAAUAAUAUAAAAAAACCAAAAUUAAUUGGUGAAAGUAUAUGGAUUUUAUAUGUUUUAUUUUGCAUUUGGAAGUAGGUAAUAAAAUUUUAAAAGUUUUAAUUUUGCUAUCUAUUCUUGCGAUAUAUUUAGUUUAAAUAUAUUCUUAUCAAAACUUGACAGCAUUUUUAAUAGUUUUUGACAUAUAUUAUAGCUUAAUAGAAUAUUCUAUUAUUUGAUAAUAUGUUUCAUUACUACUAAUAAAGAUAUCAAAAUUUAAACAAAUUUAAUUCAUUUUUCCUAAAAAAUAAAAAAUGGAAAGUAAUGUAAGACUAGCUAAUCGCAUUAUGGAAUUUCGUAUUCGAAUCAGAACUCAUUUUAAAAGUCGAAACUCAUUUUAUCAAAAUUAAUUUUUGGCUCAAACUUCUUAAAUGAAUUUUACAGUCAAAUUAAAUUGAAUGAAUAAUAGUGUUUUACAAAGUGUUAGUGUUAUGAGUGAUAGCAUGAUAAUAUCUAAGAAAUAACAUUACCACUGUAUUAGCAACAUAUUGGUAUUUAGUCAAAUUUAAAUGGAUUGUACUCAAGUUCGAAUUCUAUUUGAUUCACAUUUCUAGCUAAGUUUAUUUCUAAAUGAAAUAAACGAAGCGGAUAACACGCUACCUAUCUCUCCAAAAAAAAAGAAAAAAAAAAGCCUAUAAAACCAGUAUAGUAAUGACCAUAAUUGUGCUCUUUAAUAUCGCCGAAAGUAGUUUGUCGUCCUUUUGACAUACCUUAGCAUUGAAAAUGUCAUACAAAAAUGAUGCCGAUUUGCACAAUUCACUACAACAAAAACGGGAUAUAGUGACACUUUUAAAUGUCGGUAUAGAUCAAAAAAAGUGUUGUUGGCUAAAUUACCGACACUUUUAAAAAGUGUUGCUAUAUGUGGGGUCGCUAGAUAUAUAGUGACAUUUGAAGAGUGUCGGUACAACAUAAAAAGAAUGCUGCUAAUUUACUAAUAUUUAUUUAAGUAUUUAACAACCGCCGGAACCCUACCUCAUCGACUGCGGCGGGGGUGGAGGAGGAGAGCGAGGGGCUCUUCGUCUAGGAUUUCAGUGGAUUGGGUGAGAAGAGAAGAAGAGUUGGUGAUUGAUUUUUCUUUUUUUUUUUUCCUUUUCUGUUUGUAAUCGGCCGAAUGAGCUGGGUGGAGUGGGUUAAAUAGAUAACUUUUAUUUUUGAUUGAAUUAGGCUUUAUAUUUAGGGCGUGUUUGGUUCGCUUCUUUUUCACCAUGGAAUCGGAAUCGGAAUGGGUGAAUCCGUUUGUGGGUGUUUGGUACGCGGGAGUCCCAUUCCGAUUCCGAUUCCCGAGUGGAAUGGGAAUGCUCCAAUCACCCCUUUUUUCAAUCCGGCCUAGGAGGCCGGAUUGAAAGUUGAAUCCGGACGGAAUGGAUAUUUAUUCGGAUUAAAUUUAUUUUUUCAACUUUUUAAAUUAAAAUAUAAGUUAAAUUUUAAAAAUUAAAUAUAUAAUUUUAAAUUUUAAUUUGAACUUAAAUUAAAAAUUAAAAUUUAAUCAAGUAUUUUGAAUCUAACUUAUGAAUUUGAAUUUAAAUUAAAUUUUAAUUUAUAUGAAGUUUAUUCAAAUUUUAUUUCAAACUUAAAUUAAAUUUAUGGAUUCAAAUUAAAAUUUAAAUUGUAAUUUUAAAUUUGAAUUUGAAUAAAUAAAAUUUUAGUUUCAUAUUUUGAAUUAUCCACUCAACUUCAAAGAUUAAUUUAUUUUAAAAAAAUAGAUUUAAAAAUUUGAUAUUAUUUAAAAAUUUUGAUGUAAAUUUUUAAUAUUUAAUUUUUAAUUUGAAUUUAAAUUAAUAUAUUAUAAAGAUAAUGUUCGUAUAUUAAUUUGAUUACGUUUUUUAUAUCCACCUGAACCAAACACCAACAAUAGGAAUGAUUUAUUCCGAUUCCGAUUCAGGUGGUGAACCAAACGGAAUUAGGUAAUGAGCCAUUUCGAUUCCGAUUCCAGCUUAUUUUGAUUCCGAUUGCGAUUCCAACUCCGACUACGAACCAAACACGCCCUUAGACCUUAAUAGAUUUUUUUAAAAAGUUUUGGUAUAAAUGGAACACUUAUACAAAAAUAUCCCAAAUAUAUGUCGCUAUAACCUAAUUUUUUUAUAGUGAAUUUUGAAGAUUAUCCAUUAUGGAAAUAAGUCGAGUAUGUUAUCACGGAAACUCUUAUUGUCAAAACAUUUUCUACUAUUAGACGAGCUAAAAGGUUCAAUUGUUACAGCCGUUAGAAACGAUGCAUAUUCUUUGAGAAUAGUAGAUAUUGCUUUGGCAAUAUCAAUUUCGUAUCAUCUUACUUUCUCUUUUAGGAUUGUUUGUUUUUGUAUUGCUGUUGUGUGCUAAUUUGUUCUUUAAUAAUCGCACAUAUUACCGACCGUCUCUAGCGCAAGUGGCAAAAGAUUUGGUGGUUGGUAUCCAAGAUCUCAAGUUCGAAUCUAAAAUAAAAAAUAUCGCACAUAUUUUAAAUGAGAACUAGUACUUAAAUGCAAGCUGAAAAAAAAAAAAAAAAAAAAAAAAANAAAACUUUUGUACUUAUAGUUCAAAUUUAGUUAUUAAAUUUGCUUUGUUUACUGUAAAAUAAGAGUAAAUUAACUUUCAUCUGAACACUUUUAUACGCUUUUUUGUCAGAUUAAAUUUGUUCAAUUGAGAUCUAAUGUGUUCGUCCGGUUCAAAAUAUUAUGUAUCUGAUCUAGUUUUUCUUUGAUCGCUAACUAACAAACUUAAACCGACAGAUAGAGCAAAUUGUAUUAGAACUUUCUUUUUCUGCUAGAACUGCAACCAUGAUAAAUUCAUCACCUGCAGAAUUAAAAGUAACUGGCAUAAUUCCCACAAUUUAACAUUUUCCUUUCAAAAUGUUCCAGAGUCUUUAUAUUUUUUUUUUUGAGAAAAAGAUAGCAAAUUAUCUGCUCCAUUCAUUAGGCAAAAUGAACUAAGCAUAAAGGAUGAAUGAAAGAAACUACAAAGCAAUACACAAACGCAUGCCACACAUGGGCACUUUGAUCCUUCACUACUCUAAAGAUGAUCAUUAAACUCAUCUAUUCAUUUUAUUAAGCACGCUUCCUUUUAUUUGCGACAAACUUUCUUGCUAUAGUAUUUGAAUACUAAAUUAGUUGUUUGGGGCACUAGUGUCCCAUAUAGGCUUGAUCACCUUCCAAUAAAGCUCCACCAUCUUGUCAGUUUUCGGAAUGUGCUCCUUCAAGGUCGUGACCGAGUCGAACCGCUCUGCCCAUUUCGCUAGGAGAGGAAACUUUGCCUCGUCAAAGAGUUUGAUACCUGAUAUCUUCUCUGUCAUCUUCACCCAGCAUAGAAAGCUUUCGAAUGCGAUGUCGAGAUAGCCCACAUUGUCCCCGCCGAAAAAGGGCUUUUCUUUGAAGCUUUUCUCGUAAGCCUCUUCUAUUAAACCGAGUCCUACGAAUGAUUGCUUUAUACCUUCUGCUUUCUCAUUUUCUGCCUUUACUUUGAUAAUUUUUAGUAAAGCAGGAAAACACUGCAUAUAAAGAGAGGUAGAGAUAAAAAAAAAAACUUCAUAAAUAUUUUGAUUUAUUGCAAUAUCACAGAAUAACCAAUACGAUAAAGUUAGAAUUGAAAAGAUGUACACUACUAUUCGAAAUUAUGUAAUUGAGACUUGAAUCCAAAACCCCUCCCAAAUCCAAAGUCAUGCCUUGCCACUGGUUUGGUUUCAUGGGUCAAUAUUUAGAUGUUAUAUAAAUAAUGUACAGUACUUAACGGAUACAAUAUUUUAAUGAAUGAAAUCACUCAAUUUUUCCAUCUAACAAUUUAGUCCACUAUUCUUUUCGUCAUUCUUUAACAUUUAGCAGCAAGUUUGUGUUCGGCCUAGAUUAUUUUAGAAUCAGUUGCUCUACUCAAUCAAAAUGAUCGUUUCCGAUAAAACAUAAUAAGUAAGACCAAACAAACUCCAAAUCUAGAAUAACAUACCGUGUCGUCAAUAUAGCCGGCCCAAAAGAGCGCGAUGGCACGUUCAUAUGGAUCCGAGGGAAGGAUCGAGGGCCCAGUUCCGGCCCAAACUUCGUCGAUGUAUUGGAUGAUGAUCGCCGACUCGCAAAUUGGCCGAUCCUUGUGGAUCAGAACUGGUACCUUCUUGUACACGGGGUUUGAUUUGAUGAGGAGCUCACUCUUAUUGUUCCCAAGUUGUUGCUCCAAGUACUCGUAGCUCACCCCCUUGAGUUCCAAAGCAAUUUUCACUCUAAUCACGUAGGGACUCGCCCACGCUCCUAAGAGUUUCACUUCCUCUCCUGACGCGGCCAUAUUUUAUGGGAAUUGAAAUAGUUUUCUUACAAAAUGGAAUAGUUACGUAAACAAUUAAAUGGAGAUGGGCAACAAAUCUGGUGGGGUUUUGGGGCUUAUGUUGAUGAGGGUAUUUAUAGAAAGGUAUGGAAGGAGUGGUUGGAUAAGACUAUGACUUUGUUGUGGCUUGUUGAAUGGUGCUACAGAUAAUUAAAUACAGUAAAAUGCUUCGUGUCUAGUGUCUCUAAUGAGUUAUUUUUAUGUCGAUAAAUAAUAUUAUUAUUUUUAAAUUUCAUACAUCAACUAAUUAGAAUAUUGUUUGGACAUCCAAAUAAAAUAUUUAAUAAUAAGGUAUUCCAUAUUAAAAUUUUUUCUUAUAAUAUUGGAAACUAGGAUUGUAAUUUUUAUAUUCUUUAAAAGGUCAUGACAUUUAUAAUUUAAUUAAAUAAUAUAUUUUAGGCCAAUUUGUAUAAAAAAUUUAUUAAUUUUGAUAUUUUGAAAAUGUAUGUUAUUUUUUGGAUUUUGCACAUUCAGAUAAGAUUUUUAGAAAACUGAUCAAAAUACCCUUAUUAUAUUUUCUAUUUUUUUUUUUUUCAUCGCGUUCGUUUUUUUCCCUCUCCGACCCUCUUACAUCGUCUCCGCAGCCCUAAAUCCUACCGGGAGGGCUGGGGGUUCGAACCCUAAACCCCACCCUCUUGGCCCCUCUUCUUUGGUGUUGCUGCGCUCUCCUCCGUCUCCACCACGUGCUGUCUCCGAAUAGGCACCAUGGGCCGCGUGCCCCUUUGCUUGUCGGCGAGCUUUUCAGCACCAAGAAGCGCUUCCUCUUCAUCGUAGGUGGUGGCAGUGGGGACGGCGGAUUUCCAUAAGUGGAUUUGGUAGGUGGCGGAUCUAUUGCGGUGGAGGUGGAAGGCGAAGAGAAGAUGAGCGCAGAAGAAGAACAAGGAAGCGAAGGGAGAGGAAGAGGAGAAACAGUAUAAUUUUUACCGAAAAAAUACAAUUUUCGUUUAAAAAGUGUAAUUUUUGUCUCAAAUAAUAUAAUUUUUAUUUCAAAUAGUAUAACUUUUGUUUUAAUUUCAAAUAGUGUAACUUUUGUCUAAAAUAGUAUAACGUUCUUCUAAAAUAGUCAAAUUCAUCUUAACAGUGCAACUUUAUUCUUUUUUUUUUCUUUGGUUAUUCAUCUUUUUUUUUCGUAGAAAAAAGUAUUUUUUUAUUAUUUUAUUCUUUAUUCGUUUUUUUUUACCAUCUGUAUCUUUUUUCUCUAUCGCGAUCUCUUCCUUACUCUCUACCGCAGUCACACCCCUUGCAAAAAGUGCUCCUUGGAGAAACGCGUACUCAUUUUCGUCCUCACUCUUACACUGGCACUCUUUUAGAGUCCUCCUCCUCCUUCGGCACUAAUGUCGAUGCCUGCGCUGGCCAAGUCGGAGAAAUUAUCGUCACAAAGGGCCGCAAAGGCGAUGGAGUGGGGUCUGUGAGAAAAAAAUGCGAGAGAGAAAAAAAAAAGAAAAAGAAAAAAGAGAGAGAAUGGAAUAAAGGUAUUCACGUCAGUUUUUUAAAAAUUCGGUCCAGGCCUACAAAAUUUGAAAAGACAACCUAUUUUUACAAAAUCUCAAAAUUAGUAAUUUUGUUAUGCAAAUUCACCUAUAUUUUAUCUAUAAAAUAAUUUUAUUUUAUUUAAAAAGUACUUAAAAAAUAAAAUAUGAUAUGUACAAUCUAUUCUAGAUGUUUGAUCGCAUAAAUCUAUAUAUCGGAAUUGAGGUAAUAGUUUACCUGUUAAAUAUAAAAAUGUUUAAACACCGUUCUCUAACGGUUUAAGUUUUUAGAGUACAACAGCGGUUUCACAUGGUAUCAGAGCAGGAGGUCUUGAGUUCGAGUCACGCCAGACUCGUAGCAUAUUAAUUUCCUCCCAUUUAAUUCAAGCAUACACCCGACUAAAAAGUCUCAAGUCCAGACGCGAGGGGAAGUGUUAAAAUAUAAAAAUAUUUAAACACUUAUGGUCACAUUACAAGAAUAAUAUUCUAGGGAGUCGUGUAGGUUCUUUACUUUCUGGAGUCAAGUAUACUAGUGAAGACACCCGCGCGUUGCGGCGGAUUGAUUUUAUGAAAGUAAAUAAUUAUCAAUGAUCUAAACAGUUUUGGGGAAAAAAAAGAAAAAAAAAAGAGAAGAAAAAAAAAGAAAAAGAAGACAAAUACUAAAUAGAAAGUAAAUAAAAUACGAAUAAUUAGGGAUAAAUGGAUCGACUAAGAGAAGCAGCGCGAGUUUCAAAAAUAUAAGGCAACAUUUUAUAGCAAUAUAUUUCAAAAACAAAAUAAUAAAUAAAUAAAUAAUUGAUUGAUUUUUAGCUAAAUUAAACACUGAACAAUUCAACAGAUUGAACAACAGAGACAGCCGUGUGGAUUAGAAACGAAAAAGAAUAAAAGAAACUGAAGCAGAAACUAAUGCAAAAGAAGCAUAGUAGUAGCCGCAGAAAGAGUAGUUAAACAAUAAAUAAAAAUAAAAUACCAAAUACUGUCAAAAAUAGUUUUUAUUGUUAAAUGAGUUUAGAUACAAAGUAUUGCCUCAACGAACAAUAUUUAAGGAAUAAUAGCUACAUACAUUAUGGCAAAGAAGGGAUAAAAAAAACAUGUAUUAUGUUAGAUGCUAUUUUAAAAAAAAAAAAAAAUAGAAGCACACAGAACAAAAUAAAUAGUGGGCAUUUGUUGUUAAGAAAUUUGAAAAAAUGGCAUAAUUGGUCAGCCUAGAAAGCAUAAAGAAUGUGAUAUACUUUUCUAGGGAGCAACUACUGCAUGUUAUGUAGUCCUUCAUAUUGCUCUCAAUGGGGGCACAGGAAAAUACUUCUUAGACUGCAGUAAGAGUCGCCAUUUGGCCAUCAAAAUUGGAGAACCAUUUGGGUUCCUUCACUUUUGUUUGUCAUCAUCGCUCAUUAAUAAUCAACACUUUGAACAGGACGGAAAACCAGCAAUAGUAAAAAUAGAAGAAGAAUAAAGAGGCUGAGAAAAAAGAAGAAUAAACAACAGUAGAAACUACAGAAACAGAAGCCGGCCUCCACAUGCUGCGAGACACGCGUUACAGCGCAUUUUCAUUUAAUCCUUGCUAGGUGGAACACAUUACCAUUUAAUUAAUCCCCUAUGGCACAUGGUGUCAACUAAUCCUCCAAUCCUUGCAUCCAUUAUUAUUAUGGCACUGGAAUUAAUUUGUGUAGAUUAUAGUCCAUGACCCUACAGUGCUUUAGUCCAUAUGAAUACACUUGACUAUGGGCAGGUAAAGUUAAUUAAAAAUAAACUAACUGAAACCAGAUGCAGUUUUUAUUUUUUUUUCUUUGAGUACCCCUCGAUUAUACAUUUUUUGAAAUAGACCCCUUAAGUAAGUAUUAUUAUUUUGAUCGGCGACUUUCAAAACUUGUGAUCUAUCAUCCCAAUUAGAGAUUUUGUUCAGUUUUGAGUACUUAUUCAAAUGAUGAUAGUAACUUCAGAUUUUGUCAACAAUUAUUAUUGGUAGAUAGAUAACAAACAAUUUCUUAAUUCAAUUUGCCGGAAUUUUGGGAUUUUGUACAAAUUCUUUGGCUACUCAGAAUUUUGGGAUUUUGUAGUUGUCACCUAGCAUGUCUUGUUCUUUUUGUUCCUUCCUUUAUUUCCUUUCACCUCCGGUUUGCUCUAGUGUCUGCAUAGGUCCUUGUGAUGCUGUGAAGCUAUUGAAAGUCCAAUAUUGCUCUUCUUUGGAGAGAAAGUUGAUACAACUUCAGAAAUCUCAAUGGAAGGGUAAGAAGAAUUGCAAAACCAACCCUUGGAGAAUUGGCUUUGAGUAGGACACUCAGGAUGACUCAAGGAAGGCUAACUAUCUCCCUCUGUAUAAGCAGAAAAGAAUGCAGGCUAACUAUCUCCCUCUGUAUAAGCAGAAAAGAAUGCAAGCUAACUAUCUCCCUCUGUAUAAGCAGAAAAGAAUGCAGAUGGUACUAAGAAAGUAAUUGAAGCUGUUGGCGAGAUGAAAACCGACACUGAAGUUUUACUCUCAAUUUUGAUUCGACACUGCUUGUGACCAUUUGUACUCUCUUGUUUGAUAAUGUUACCGGCAUUCUUUAUUUCCUCCUUGUUCAGGUAAGGUGAAUUAAAAUACCCAAAGAAGGAACUAUAAAGAUCCAUGCUGAAACGUUAUCCUACAGGUAAUUGUCAAAGCAAAAUUAUGUUUUUAUAUAUAAUUCAUUGUUGUCAAUGGCUUGUACAUUGACUAAGUAGAGAAUCUAAGAUGCUAUACAGAGAAUAAAGACAAUGACAUCCAGAGCUGGAGUAAUGAAGUUCAUGCCAGAGCGAAUGACUUGAUGGUUGAUAGGCGGUUAAUUCUACAUUUUGGAAUGAGAUGAAUCUGAAGAGUUAUUGAGCAGACUCUUUAAGGAUCAGAAAUAUGAUGUGUACUGUUGCUCCCCGAAUUUUCAGGUAUGAAAGGUUUUUUUUUUGUUGCAAUACCCCAUUCAGUUUGCUAUUAAUAUGGCGUGAAAAUAACUCAUAGAAACCUAGAUUAUCCAUUUAGAAAUUCAUAAAGGUCAUCCUUAAGCCAAAACAGUAUUGUGAAACAAAGAUAAUUAAGUAUAAGUUAUAUCUAAUACCACAAGCUAAAAAAGAAUAAAGAUCACAAACAAAGUAGAAGCAAAAAUUUUCUCUUGAAUCCCUAGUUGUCACGGAUGUUAAUAAGAAAUUAUAACAACUUGCCCAAGAAAGAAUUUAGAAUUAGGGUUUUCUGGUGGUCCCAUCAGCAGAUGAAACUGCCACAUUACCUCCUGACUCAGAUCCCAUCUGACACUAACAACAAAACAGAAGAAGAGCUAUCAUUUUUAUUAGCUAAUUUACAUCAAAAUCUCCUCUAAAACCCUCUAAACCCAUUUCUCUUUAUUUUUUUAUCCUCAAUUUUAUACGAUUUUAACCCUAAUUUAUAAAUUAAAAAAUAAAAAACCAUCUCAAAAGCAGAUAAAUCAUAUUAACUCCACUCAUUCUGCUUCUACGACGCACCCUAUUUCAUGCAAUCAUGCAACAAUUUAGUGAUUAAUCAACCUGACAUCACUCAGUAAAUUUAAUGCUUAAUAAUGGUGUCCCUAGAAGCUCAGAGUCCAUGCAUAAUAUGUAAAGAUCUUUAAAGAAUCCAUUGUUGAUGAGCGUUACUUACUGAGCUGAUCACCGCAGCGAAGAACAGGACGGGCCCGGCCUUCGCGGAGGGGUUGGCGGCGCUGGGCUCGCCCUUGGCAGCGCGGUAGGCCUCGGGGGGCAUCACGCCGUACACGACUGAGACGUUGACCCCGGCCUUCUCCCACAUGGCGCCGUCCUGCUGAUGCCGCCGCCGCUGCCGCCACUCCUCCUUGAACACGGCGCCCCCGUCCUAAUUAUUUUAAACAUACUUUUUCUUACCUAUUUUAUUAUCGAUGCUGUGUUGAUAGUGGUACUACUUGAGCUGCUCAUAAAUUGAAAGACUUUCCUUCCCCUGCACCUUGAUAGUUCUAAUAGUUUGAGCCAUAUAUUUUGAAGUACAAAAGCAACUUGAUAUAUAGUUUAUGCUCGGUUUUGCUUCUAUGUUAUUAUAGGUACCAAGAGCUAAUGGAAGAAAGUUCAAAGCUUCCAUUGUUCAAACUGAACAAACUUAAUGCAUCAUUACCUGUACCUUUGAUACCAAGGAGCUCUGUAGUUCUUUUCAUUAUGGGUGCAAGUGAUGACUUCAUAGUCGCCAAGAAGGUCGGGCCCCUCUCAAUUAUCGUAAUCAUUUCACAUUCAAGGAAAGGUGCAUUGUUGUUUGGGAUAAAAAUAGGUGGAAGCUCAAUUGUUGCAAUCAUGUAACAUUCAAGGUAAGGACUAUGAAGAAAAACAAAGAGCCGACAGCCAGCAGGAAGGCAUAGGGAACCUGCAGAAAUCGAAAACAGGGACUUGCGGAUUCCACGGCAUAUAAUUUUUUUUGCUGCGAAAAUCAGGGCGAAGGAAAAGCAAAAGAAUAGAGUUUUUUCUAUGGAACAGCUCAAAACAAUGAUGUAAAAUAACCAAGUCUUGAAAGGUUGCUAAAACAAAAAGGGAAAAAGAAAUCGAAUGCAGGUAAAAGCAAGUCGAAAAUAAAGAGAUUUGACAAAUCAAAGCCAAAGAUGCAGUUUGGGGAAAUCCCAAUAGUUUAAAAAAACAUGAAACCAAUAUUUACAAAGAAGAUAAGAGUAAAGAGGAGUAGCAAACAUGGGUAGGUAUGGAAAUAAAUAAAUAAUUUUUGCUCAGACACCCCUAGUUAUCAAGCAUUAUCAGAUUGGCAGCGAAGCCUUCCCGAUUAAUAGUGCCGACCGAGCUAGAAACCAUGCGCACGCCGAAACCAUUCUUAGCACAAAUGAGAACAACUGGUUGCUUAAGAAGUAAGCCAUCCAAAGUGCUCUCAUUACCAAUCAAGAAAGCGCAGGCCUUUCUCAAUUAUCGCGACUAUCUGAUAUUGGGAAGGUCAUCAUCGCACGGGAGGAAAACGGGGAAGACAAAGUCUCGGGGAAUAGAAGGGUCAAAUUCUUAUCACAUUCAAGUGAAAGCAAAGUAACCCACAACAGACAAAACAUUGCUAUAAACUGCACAGGACCGAACUACAGUUCUUCCCCCCCUGUUUACUUUUGUCUGGACUUCUUUGGGACCCCAAAUCUGAAAUUGGAAAAGGCCCCUCCUCAAACCGUUGCACUUAACCAGCACAUCUAAUAUAUAUCUAUUUUUUUAUAAACCAUGCUGAAGGAAAGGAGAAAGGAGGAGCCUGCGGAUUCCAGGGCACUUUUUUUUCUCUUUUUUUUUUUUAACCAUGCUGCAGGAAAGGGGAAAGGAAAGAGUUUUAUCUAGAGUUGCUAAUUUAUACCUCUAUUUACAUAAUCAGACAUAUAUAUGUAAAGGAAUAACAUUUACCACUAUCCCCAGCGCCGCACCCCACCUCUCCGAUGCCCGCGAAGCGCCCUGCAAUCGCCUCGGCAUUUCAUCGAACAGGGCGCGAGCGCUCGGGAGAGGGCGCGGGGGCCUGCGAGCUCCUCGGUGUAUGAGAGGUAUGUGGCUUCAUUGGUGUUUCUAGAUCCUCGCGUGAUGGCGAGGGGGAGGAGGAGAAGAAGACCCUUGCAGAUCGGAAAGAGAGCUGAGAGAGUUCGGCGUGGAUCUGCAGGACCUCCGCGCCCUGCGGGGCGACAGGGGAAGAAGGCGGGGAGAGGGGCGCGCGAGAAAAGGUAUGAUGAAGCGUAGAGAGAGAUCGAAGAGGCGGAGGAAGGAUCGAAGAGGCGGAGGAGGGAUCGAAGAGGCGGUUGUGGGGGAGGGUUCGAAGAGGCGGGGCAGGGAUCGAAGCUGUGGGAAUCAGGAAGCGAUCGAAGAGGCGGGGCGAAGGAAUGAAUGGGAUCUGAAGUGGCGUGGUGACGUGGGAUUGAAUUAACAUGGAUUAAGGAAAAUUGGACACAUGGCAAAACAGAACGGGGAUUCAUUAGAGUUUAUAGAUAUUCCCCUCCCCAUCCCAUUCACCGUUCGGGCCAUAAUAAUUAAUUAUAUUAUAUGGCCCGAAGUUCUGCCUGCUCCCUGCAAUUUGGUCACGUGGGCUUGCCAGUCCUCGGCCUUUGCUUCUUCCGCAGUGUAAUAAGAAUCUUUCGACGAGCCCAAACACUUUUUUUUAAAAUUUAAAAUUUAAAUUUAAAUUUAAAUUUAAAUUUUAAAAUUUGAUAUAUAAAAUUUGAGAUUUAAGUUUUAAUAUUUAAAAUUUAACACUACAAAUUUAACAUUUAAAAUUUAAAUUCUAAAAUUGAAAUUUAAAAAUGUAAAUUUUUUGCUCUGAAUAUUUAAAAUUUGUAACCUGAAAAUUAAGACGUAUAAUUUUAAAUUUUCAAAUUCUAAAGUUUUAGUGUUAAAAUUAUAAAGUUAAAAGUAAAUUUUUUCACCGAAAUUUUUUUCACCGAAAAUUUUUUCACAAUUUUAUGUGGAACCAAACACAACCUGAGUGAAAGUACGUCAUACAUUAUACCGUACAAAUAAUAAAAUAAUUAAACUUUCAUUAGAAAGUAUUUUCGCAAAAUAAAUGUAGCAUUUGUGUGGGUGGAGGAAUUUGAUAAUCGGAAGGGGAGUCGGUUGGUGCGUGCAAUCUCGGGAUUGACGUCGGAAUUUGGAAUUUAUGUACUACGUACCUUGAUUUCCGAAAAUCCGAAUUUGCUGUAUCUCGCUACAAGUGGGACCCAGCCCACUUGUGGUUGUUGUGAUUCCCAAAGCUAAAACUUUUUUAAUGGAAACCGUGCUUUGCUGUUGAGGGAAAGGGAAACCGUGACUUGCUGUGGUCCCCGCAGGUGGAGAGGAAAUGAUGUGAUUCCCCCGGGGCUUCACAUCUUGGAAAGUGUGCCCUGCUGUGGUGCCCGAGGGGGAGGUGUGGCCUGUGAGAUUUGAAAUGAUGUGAUUCCUCUCUGGGAACAGAGCUUUCCAGAUUCUGCACCAAAAUAAUUAAAGCUUCUUGGAAGCUUUCUUGCAAACGUCAUACCCCCCCCUCUCAUGCCUCAAGAAGCUUCCGAGAAGCUUCUUGGAAGGUUUCUUUGAAUUCUAAAAAUUUAUAAUUUAUAAUUUCAAAAUUAAGACAUAAAAUUUAAAAUUUGAAGUGUUCAAAUUUUUAAAUUUUAAGAUUUCAAAAUUUAAAUUUUAUGCUAAAAAUUUAAAAUUUUGAAUUUUAGAAUUUAAAAUUUGAGUCUUGGAAUUUAAAAAUUAAAAAAUUGUAAUUUAAAAGCAUUUGUUUUUACAGACUACAUAGUAUAGUGUACAGUUACUAAGAUAAUUAAACUUUUAGAAAAUAUUUUGCAAAAUAAAUACAGGAAAAAAAAAUAUAGAAAGACUCCAAAAAAAAGCAAAAAAAUUGCUGAUUAAAUUCUUAAAAAAAAAUAUUUUGCGAAAUAAAUGUAUAAAAAAAAAUUAAUUGUUAAUAAAGCUGGUAGGAAAUAUUUUGCAAAAUAAAUACAGAAAAAAAAUUCUAGAAAAAGAACCAACCGUAAUUAUUAAAUCCUAAUCAUCAUCAUUACACCGUAAAUUCUAGGUCUUAAAACUUUAUUUUUUAAUAUAUGCGUAUCAAUACUUCAAUAAUAUAGUAGGAUCACAAGCACCUAUGUAACCUACUAAUUAUUUUUUUCUUCUAAAAUUUAUCCAUCUAAUUAAGAUUUUAAAUUUUUUUAAUAUUUUUAUUUUUAAAUAAGUUUUAUAUUUAAUUUGUACUAUAUAAAUAUGAGAUUGGUUGGGUUGCAUGUUAUCAAGUGGGUUAGGUUUAGGGAUGCAAAUGGGGCGGAUCUGGGGGCGGGGCCCNAAGCGAUCGAAGAGGCGGGGCGAAGGAAUGAAUGGGAUCUGAAGUGGCGUGGUGACGUGGGAUUGAAUUAACAUGGAUUAAGGAAAAUUGGACACGUGGCAAAAUAGAACGGGGAUUCAUUAGAGUUUAUAGAUUAGCAUACCUGUCCAUUUUGGAUCUGAUUUUCUUGGACAUUUCUGAUGUAUGCUAACUUGAGAAGUAUUUUUCUAUCGAUUUUAUUUUAUUUUUUUAAUUUCCUGUUCGUUUGUUUUUAAAAGGAGAAGUCAGAGAACGUACCUCUCGAUUGAAUUUUCUUCUGCUUCAUUGGAGAAGAAGAAACUCUAACUAAUUGUAGUGAGGUCACCACCGCUGUCAUCUGCAAGUCCGUCAACCUCGCCUAUUAAUUUUAAUUUAAUUGACUAAAUUUCAAAUAUCACCUCAGUAAUUUUAUAUUUUUUCACUUUAGUAUUCUGUAAUUUAAAGUGUAUUAAUAUAGUAUCCUGUGGUUUUUUUUUUUCUUUUCGUCAGUCUUUCCGUUAACUUUUCGUUAAAUCAUAUACAAAAAAACUUCAGUUACCCCACCUAUAGUUUACUAAAUAUUCACUUUAGUAUUCUUUAAUUUAACUUUGUCAUUGAUUUAACGAAAAAUAAUUAGUAGAGAGAAUAACAAAAAGAGAAAAAUAAAAUCACAGAGUACGAAAAUGAUACACUUUAAAUCAUAGUGUAUUAAAGUGAGAAGGUGCGGAACUAGAAGGGUGGUAUUUGAAGUUUUUUUUUCUAAUUUUAGAGGCAGAGUUUUGAAGAUGAAUUUGAGGCUUAAUUUAAUAAACCUUUUUUAUCCUUGGGGCCUAUUUGGCUCGCAUUAGGGAGUACUAAUUAUUUUAACAUAACUAGUAAUUAUUUAUCCGAUAACUAAUAUUUUUUUUUUUAUGCUUCAAAUUAUUAUUUUAAUACUGUAUUAUUUCAUUUGGUUUAGUACAGUACUAUAAUAUUAGAUUACUGCACAUGUAAAAUUAUUUGAUUUUAUUUAUUCAAUAUACAUCGGUAAUCCUAAUAGCAAAAUUCGUACUAUUCCAAUAAUAUUCUUUUAUACACAAAUUUAUUUAAAAUUUAAAUAUAAAAUUUGUAUUUAUGUUUAAACUUAAAUUCAAAAUUUAAUUUAACUUAAAUAUUGGUUCAAAAUGUAAAUUCAUUUUUCAAUUUUAAAUUUGAAUUUUAAAUUCAAAUUUUGAUUUUGAGUUUGAAUUUCAAAUUUAAAAUUUUAUUUUAAAUUUGCAUUUAAAAUUUAAAUUAAAAUUUUAUUUAAAUUAACUUUAGAUUAUAAAUAUAAAAUUUUAAUUUUAAUUUUAGAUUUUAAAUUCAACUUUUUAAAUUUACAUUCAAUUUUUCAAUUCAAAGCUCCAAUUCAAAGGUCCAAUUCAAAUUUCGAAUAUGAUUUCAUAUUUAUAUUCAAAUUUUAAUUUUGGAUCGAAAUUAAAAUUUAGUCUUUCACUUCAAAGUUUAAAUUUAAAUUUAAUUUUGAAUAAUUAAAAUUUUUAAUUCAACUUCAUUCAAAUUCUAAAUUUGAAUUUAAGCUAUGAAUUUUAUAUCUCAUAUUGAGUUUAGAUUUUUUUUUUGUUUAAAUUUUAAAUUCAAAUUCAACAUUUUAACUCAAAUUUCAAAUUAAAUGUUGCAAUUCAAAUUAUCAUUCAAAUUUUAAAUUUCAAAAUUUAAAUUCAAACUUAAAUUAAAGGUGAAUAAUAAUAUUUUUCACUCUUUUUAUCUAAAUUAUUUAUUAAAAUUUUAUAUUUAUGAUCGAAUCUUGAUCAUAUAUCAACAUAUUUUUAAAAAUUUUUUGUUUAUAAUCACAUUUUUUGUGUGUGUUAUCCAAAUGAUUCAAUUUUGAAUCUUUAAGUUAUAAAUUAAUUUAUCAGAGCAAUAAAAAUCUAAAAAUUAAGUACAAACCAAAUGAAACCAAAUGAAUUCGGUUUGAUUUGGGAUUGAACGGUCCAAGUAAUGGCAUUUACUGGGCUUAUGCGGUAGAUUAUAGCUACUACUACCUAAGCCCCACUUCGGGCCGUUUGGUUAGAUAUAGUUAUAAAUGCAGUGUAGUUAAAGAUAUAUGGAGUUGAAAAUACAGCAGUUACAACUACAUGAAUCAUGUUUGGUUGGAUGUAAUAGAAAGCGCUGCAAGUAUAAAUAAUUUAUUUGAUUGAAUGCAGUUGAAAAAUAAAUUUUAAAAUUUUAUCAUUUUAUAUAUAUGAUGGUGAGAUUAACUCUAAUGUAAAAAAGAAAAUUAAUUUUUGUUUAAAAAAUAUUGAGGAAGUAAGCAUAUCUUUUAUAUAAAGUUAUUCUCUCCAACUGCUGCAGUUGGAAUUGUGGCCAAUUUGGACGUAGUUCAAACUAUUGCAUUUGGCCCUCCUCCUGUAAUUUCUACUGCAGCAGUUGAAAUUUAAUAUAUCGAACUAAAUAUCGAAUUUGUAUUUAUAUGCAAUUGCAACUGCAGUUGCAACUACAUGCAACCAAACGACCCCUUCUUGUAGGACAUGAGAGUUACCAUAGGCACCUCCCCAAAGACGACACAUAGAGUGGCUACGGCCGCCGCUACUGUAGUGGCUGCUGGACUGUAGCCCCAAGUUACGGCAGCGGCCACUUAGGCGACUGCGACAUUAGUGGCUAUUGGUGCUACAUCGGUACCUGUGGGUGUUACUCCCUUAGGCACCGUAGGUAUGGCCGUGACGCCUACCUCUUCUUCUACCUCCGGUAAUGGCGAAAACUCUCAGACAUGGAGCGAACUUGGACAAAGGUGAAUUGGUGAGUUCAAGAAAUACGACCCGCCAAAGUUCAGAGACAAGACUCCCGAUCAUGGAUUGGGAGGUUUGGGUCGAUAUUAUAGAAAAGCUCUUCGAAGAGCCUCAGACAAGGCAACUGGAUAGUACUAUAGUGCGAGUGGGGUUUUGCCCGACUCGUUAGUUAACUGCAUUCCGCUUGUGAUACAGAAUGGGCAGCACAAGGCUUGGCAUUUGGUGGGAUGUUUUUCGAAAGGUUUCCGCUGAUUGAAAUCAACAGCUUGGGUGUCUUACCUUUCGUUGGUUCAUACGUCGGAAUUGACGUGCAUUAUAACUAGUUAAAACACAGUUUCGGUGCCAGAGUCUUUGGUGGUGCGCACUUCCUGUGCCGCUAUCUCAAUAUCUAAAUUGAUAUGUUUUGAGAUAGCGGGUGGUUUAUGUAGGUUUAUGGCAUGUCUCAAGAUACUCCAUGGAGUUAGUAGAAGGUCUCGGCAUUUUAGGUGGCGAGUUAGGUGAGAUUCGAAAAUCAGUUAAAGAAACCGCGUUCCGAUCACACUUGUUUGUGCCGGUAGGCGACCAGUGACGCUGGUAGUCGUCGGUUGUUGUCGGGAGCCGCCGAACUCUUUUGGAGUUGGCUCAAAGAUUCAUCCAGUUUCGGAAGUCAGCUUGUGAAGCCGAUGUUUGACCGCAUUAUGGUGCACCUCAGUGCGGUAUAGAGAUAUCGGUCUGUUUUGAAUAUGUGUUGUGUCCCCAACAAGUUGUUGGUGAUCUUCACACUUUUAGACUCUUUAAUGUUUUUGGGUUUUGUUUCAUGAGAUAGAAGGGAAAAAAAAAAAUUCUUCACUCUUGUUUCCAGUUAUGGAUUAAUCAAAGAUUAACCAUGAAGAAAGAUGGGAUCGGAUUGGGCCAAGUUUUUUUGUCAGGUUCAAUUUGUCCGAUUGAGAUCAAAGUCUUGGUCCGGUUCAAAAUAUCACGGAUCUUAUCAAUAUAGUAAACUUUUUUUGCUGAUAUUAUCAAAUCAAUCGCAACAAAUUCAUCACCUGCUAAAUGAAAAAUAAUUGGCAUCAUUCCCACAUUUUAAUAUUUUCCUUUCGAAAUGUUCCAGAGUCUUUAUAUAUAAUGAAAGAAACUACAAAGCAACACACAAAUGCAUGCUACACAAGGGCACUACAGAUUUUGAUCCUUCACUACUCUGAAGAUGAUCAUUAAACUCAUCUAUUCAUUUUAUUAAGCACACUUCCUUUUAUUUGCGACAAACUUUCUUGCUAUAGUAUUUGAAUACUAAAUUAGUUGUUUGGGGCACUAGCAUUCCAUAAAUCUUUGAGCACCUUCGAAAAAAAUUCUACUAACUCGUCAGUUUUCGGGACAUGCUCCUUCACGGUCGCGACGGAGGCAAAACGCUCUGCCCAUUUCGCUAAGAGAGGGAACUUUGCCUCGUCGAUGAGUUUGAUAUCUGAUAUCUUCUCUAUCGCCUUCACCCAGCCCAGAAAGCUUCCGAAAAUGAUGUCGAGAUAGCCCACAUUGUCUCCACCAAAAAAGGCCUUCCCUUCAAAGCUUUUCUUAUAAGUCUCUUCUAAUAAACUGAGUCCUACGAACGAUUGCUCUAAUGCUUCUGCUUUCUCUUUUUCUGUCUUUACUUUAAUAAUUUUGAGUAAAGCAGGAAACCACUGCAUAUAAAAAGAGACAGAGAUAAAGAAGAAAACUUCAUAAACGUCUUGAUUUAUUUCAAUAUCACGUGGUAACCAAUACGAUAAAGUAUACUCAAAUUGAAAAUUUAUACACCACUAUCCGAAAGUCUGUAAUUAAGACUCGAAUCCAAAACCCCUUUCAAAUUUGAAGUCAUGCCUGACCACUGGUUUGAUUUCAUGGAUCAAUAUUUAGAAGUUAUAUAAACGUACAGUACUUAACAGACAUAAUAUUUUAAUAAAUAAAAUCACUAAAUUUUUCCAUCUAACACAAACAAUUUAGUCCAAUAUCCUUUUUGCCGUUCUUUAACAUUUAGCACGCAGUUUGCGUUUGGCCUAGAUUAUUUUAGAAUCAGUUACUCUACUCAAUCAAAAUGAUCAUUUCCGAUAAAACAUAAGUAAGACCAAACAAACUUCAAAUCUAGAAUAACGUACCGUGUCGUCAAUAUACCCGGUCCAAAAGCGCGCGUUGGCACGUUCAUAUGGAUCCGAGGGAAGUAUCGAGGCCCCGGUUCCGGCCCAAACUUCGUCGAUGUAUUGGACGAUGAUCGCGGACUCGCAAAUGGGCCGAUCAUUGUGGAUCAAAACUGGGACCUUCUUGUAAACGGGGUUUGAUUUGAGCAGGAGCUCACUCUUCUUUUCCCCAAGUUGUUCCACCACAUAGUCGUAGCUCACCCCCUUGAGUUCCAAAGCAAUUCUUGCUCUAAUCACGUAGGGACAUCCCCAACUUCGUCCUAAGAGUUUCACUUUGUCUCCUGACGCUGCCAUAUUAUAUGGGAAUUGAAAUAGUUUUGUUACAAAAUGGAAUCGUUUAAGUAAACAAUUAUAUGAAGCUAGGCAACAACUUUGCUGCGGUUUUGGGGUUUAUGUUGAUGAGGGUAUUUAUAGAGAGGUAUGAGAGGAGUGGUUGGAUAUGUUGGUGAGGAAAAUGCGUGGAAUAUGACUUUACUGUGGUUUUUUUUUUUUUUUUUUUUUUUUUUUUUUAGUUAAAGCUUGAAAACAAGAAACCGUUCGAUUAAAUUGUUGAUCACUUAGAGGUUAUUCAAUUCAUUAUGCAAUUCAUUAUUCUCUAAUCACCUAAGUAAAUAAUGAACCAACAGCAAUUAAAAUUUGAACAUUUGAAGGAGUNAUUUCAUGCACAAGUUAGUUACAAUUUUUUAUCUCAUUUUUAUUAAUGUAUUUAGCCUUGUUUGGACAUCGAAAUUAAAUAUUUUAUAAUUACACAUUCCAUAUUAAAUUUCCUUAUAUUAUUAGAAAUUUAGAAUUUUAAUUUUCAUGCAUUUCUUAAAAGGUCAUGACGUCUAUAAUUUAAUUAGAUAAUAUAUUAAAAAAUAAUUUAAAAAUAAAAUAUGAUAUCUAUUAUCUAUUCUGGAUGUUUGAUCGCACCUCUUAUCCGUUGAAUAUUUAUGCAUUUGAAUUGAGGAUAAUAGUUUACAAGAAAAGUAUUUUAGAGACUCUUGUAGCUUCUCUACCUUCUGCUUAGGCGGCAUUUGAUUCAGUGUAAAACAAAUCGAGAAAUUAUUUUCGAUAUGAAAAAAUAUUUUUUCAUUUGUCUAUUUCAACCUAAUAAUAUUUUUCCGUAUAAGUAUUUUUACGGAUUUGAAAAAAAAUUGAAAUUUUCAUUUUCCCCUAUUUUCAGCAGAAAAAGAAAAUUAUGCUGUGUAAAAAAUUUUUCAUUUAUUUUUAACACCGAACCUAACAAAUGUGAAUUUUUUUUUUAACCAAACAAAUAUUAAUAAAAAUUAUUAUUAUUAUUUUCUAUAAACUAAACGCUACAAAAUAUUAAAAAAUUUUCCACCAAAAAUAUUCUUUAUAAAAAUUUAUGUUUUCACGAUUUUAUGUUGAACCAAACCAACUUUUACCUUGAAAGGCUUAAAAUAAAUGUGGGGGGGAAUCAAAGACGAUGUGCACGUACGACUUUAAUAAAGAUCACUAAUCACAUAACCAUUUUGGAUCUGGUUUAGUUCGUCAUUCCUGACGUAUGCUAAUUUAAUCCACCGAGAGAAGUACUUUUCUAUUGAUUUUUUUCUUUUUCCUGUCCGUUAUUUUUGAAGGAGAAGUCAGAGAACUCGUCAACUUUGAAUUUUCUGCUUGGAGAAGGAGAAACUAAUUAAUUGUAGUGAUGUCGCCACCACUGUCGUCGGUUAGUCAGUGAACCUCGCAUAUUAAUUUUGAAGUCAUAGUUUUCAUAAUAAAUUCGAGGCAUAAUUAAAAAAAAAAAACUUCAAAUACCAUUCCUACAGUUACACACUUUCUCACUUUAGUAUCAUAUUAUUUAAAGUGUAUCAAUUUAGUGCCAUGUGGUUUAUUUUUAUUUUUUUAUUAUCGAUUUCACUAAUUUUUUUCGUUAAAUUAGUGACAAAGUUAAAACUAAAGAGUACAAAAGUAAAUAUUCGAGAAAUCUAAGUGGGAUAUUGUCACGUCUCGGAUUACUACGUUUUUACGGGCACGUCAACAAACCCGUCGUAUACACAAGAAUUUUCCGUGUAUACGAAACGAUAGCUAUAUCUGCAAACAGAAUAUAACUACAGCAGGAGUACAGAGCUGCUAAAGCUAAGCACAUAUAUAAAAACAUAAUAAGCCCAUGGUACAUACAAUAUCUAAAGUACAACCUCGAUUCUGAAAGUAUAACAAAAUAUAACUGUAUGUACACGGUAACAACCUAAAACUAUCUUUGAAGGGGUACUCCUCUAGCACAGUGAUCAGGGAUGGUAGGAUUUAGCUCGCAACUCCCUUACCACCGUUAGAAUCAACAGCAUCAGCAGGAGACAAGGCUCUGCAAAAAAGUGACAAUAACUGAGUGUGAGAACUACUACAGAACAGAGUAGUUCUCAAUGGGUACCGUCACCGACCCCAACGAUCUACCCACUAAGUUUACAGUAAAGAUAUGCAAAUGCUAGUAAGAUAAGUUGGAAGAAACUCUACAACUACAUGCCUCUAGACUACCGCUAUCCAAACCCUCCCUCUAUAGACAUAAAAAUGCAUCACUAGCUACACACUGAUCUAAUUUCAACGGACCACCAACUGGCCAGUCCAGACUGUACCCAAACUGCACCGCACACAACCCACGGGAGUAGCCGGUCCCAAAAAAACUCUACAGAACAGAGUAGUCCUCAAUGGGUACCGUCACCGACCCCAACGAUCUACCUACUAAGUUUACAGUAAAAAUAUGCAAAUGAUAGUAAGAUAAGUUGGAAGAAACUCUACAACUACAUGCCUCUAGACUACCGCUAUCCAAACCCUCCCUCUAUAGACAUAAAAAUGCAUCACUAGCUACACACUGAUCCAAUUUCAACGGACCGCCAACUAGCCAGUCCAGACUGUACCCAAACUGCACCGCACACAACCCACGGGAGUAGCCGGUCCCAAAAAAACUCUACAGAACAGAGUAGUCCUCAAUGGGUACCGUCACCGACCCCAACGAUCUACCUACUAAGUUUACAGUAAAAAUAUGCAAAUGAUAGUAAGAUAAGUUGGAAGAAACUCUACAACUACAUGCCUCUAGACUACCGCUAUCCAAACCCUCCCUCUAUAGACAUAAAAAUGCAUCACUAGCUACACACUGAUCCAAUUUCAACGGACCGCCAACUAGCCAGUCCAGACUGUACCCAAACUGCACCGCACACAACCCAGGGAGUAGCCGGUCCCAAAAAAACUAUCCAAAUAGGGCUGCUGCGACAUAAACACAAGUAAAGCCUCAUUCCAGAGCGGCACUUGUGGGAGCGACCCAACCGAGUAUACAAGCGUAUCUCUGUCCAGCUCAAUCAGGCUCACACAGGCUAUAGUUAAUGCAAAUGGAUCAAACUAGUCUAACAAUCAAGGCUCACGUGCUCUCGGCACAAUCCAAUACAAGAUGUACACAUCUGGAUCCACCGUCAGCCCCGGCGGCAUCCGACAGUACGGAACAGUCCAAACUACAUUGUCAAAUGAAUUCGGCCCCUCAGCACGAGCGUAAUCUCAAUCUAUACUAAUCUAAGUAUCCACGACGCACUAACAGCGAUGAUACAAUAAAGAAAUUAACUCCUUAAGGUAAAUCUGUUAACAUUUCGAAAGUAGCAGUGUAGAUUUAAUUCGUUUUCUCCUAAGUCAAAUCCCGGCUCAGCAUAUAUAAUUUAUCUAAAAUUCUUAGAUUAUACUCCAAAUUUAGAUUUCAUAUAAAUAUACAAAUCUGUGAAUUCGAGCUACUAAACAUGAUGAUCGAACGAGAAAAUACAUGCUGACAUCUCUACAACUUAGGAGGAAUUCUGACGAUUUUGAAAAACAUUAAUCCAUUUCAAACGCUCGUCCAACACCGGCUAGAAGUCGAUAGGAGAAACCCCACGCUAGCUUGACCUCCAACGAAAAUCCCCCGAGGUGCGUGAACGAUUUUCCACAGACAAGGUGAACGUACUAAGAUCGUUUUUCAAAUUCACAAAGAAAAGGUAAGAGAGCUAGAGAGAGAGGGUGGAGAAGCUACCUGUUUUCUCCAAGCUUCUAACACAAAGAGAGGGGCUGGGGUCGGUUGGAAUUAUCAGCAACAAAAUGACCAAAAAUCUCCUCACCAACCUGGAGUACCGGUACUUAAUUUGGGUACUGGUACUCAGCACUCAGCUUGCAAACCCGCACGCUGGGUAUCGGUACUAGCCCGAUGCAGUACCGGUACUCAAUCCCGGUACCGAUACUCACCAACAGAUACCAGUACUCAACACAAAAUGCACAAACCCAAGAGCUCCCUUUCAUGUAAUCCCUCUGAGGUACCGGUAUACCUCUUAGUUACCGGUACACAACACUCAAAAUUCUGUUUUUGCAGAUUUCAGUGUUCGAACUCCAACUCUCACAGCUCUGAGUCCGUUUUCGCGUCUAUUUUGCGCCAAAACGCCUCUGACGUCCCGACAUUCUACAAAUGUAUCGACAAGCCACUGAUGCUGCAGUCAGUCCGACAGCUAAAUCCCAGAGACACUACAGGUAUCUGAAGAUUUUUGUAUAUAAUUUAAUGAAAUAUUAACAGAAAAGCUAACAAAAAGAUAAAAAUGAAACCACAUAAUACUAACUUGAUACACUUUAAACCACAAGGCACUAAAGUGAGAAAGUGCAAAACCACCGGGGUGAUAUUUGAAGUUUAUCCAUAAUUUUAUAAGCCUUUCUUAUCCUUUGGGCCGACUUGGCUCGCAUUGGCAAUACUAAUUAUCUUAAUAUAAUUAGUAAUUUUAUAUUGAAAACUACUAAUUUUAGUUUUGUGAUUCAAAUUACUAUUAAUACUGCAUUAUUUCGUUUGGAUCAGUACAGUAAUGUAAUGGCAAAUUACUGUGUAUGUAAAAUUAUAUUAUUUGAUUUAAUAUAUAUAUCGGUAAUCCUGAUAGCAAAAUUUGUACUAUUCCAACAAUAUCCUCUUAUACACAAAUUUAUUUAAAAUUUGAAUAUAAAAUUUGUAUUUACGUUUAAACUUAAAUUCAGAUGUGAGUCAAAAACUUAUUUUAUUACAAAUUUUGGCUUAAAAUUCAUAUUGUGUGACAAUCAAGUUGUACAAUCUAAUUAAUUAAAUUAAAUAAAUGAUUUUGUAUCAAUGUGGUGAGAGCGUUAUGGUUGAUAACGUGACAAUAACUAAAAUAUCAUAUCACUAUCAUAUUAGCAACAUAUUGGCAUUUAAUUAAUUGAAUGAAUUGUAUAGUGUAACUUAGUUAUAACAAUUUUAAAAGUUUGAAUAACAAAUAAUAAUAAAUUAAAAUUUAAGGACCAUUCUAACAUUUGCAAACUUCUUUUGGAUUUUUAGCAUUGAAAAAAAGAUUAGUGAGACUAAUAGGAAGAUAAUAGCUUUAGAUAAAAUAAAUGUAAGAGUUACAUUCUAUAAAUAGAUAUACAUGUAGUAUUGAUCAAAUUAAUCAGUAUUUCGGUGAUAAAAAAAUGAAGUUGAUUUGCACGAUUUUCAAAGAUUAUUAAUAUAAAUGAGUCGGCUAUAUUAUCAUACUUUUCCUUUUUAAGGAUUGCUUGAUAUUGUCAUUGGUGAUGUGUGCUAAUUUGUUCAUUAAUCAUCUCCUAUAUUUUAGACUAGAAUCAGAAUUUCUUAGUAAAAAUUGAGUCUUUAUUUGGAAAAGGAGUAAAAUGAAAGGUAAAACUAAAGCAUUUACCCCUAUGAAAAGGAAAAAAACAGCAUUGAAGCAGUAUCGGAAAUAGCCAAAAUUUCUUUUGGGUAUCUUUCCACAAGAACAAAUUCAGAUAUUCUCUGACUCAGUACUAAUUACUAAAGCGAUCCACUUUAGAUCUGACCAAUUUAAAUCGAUCACUUAAUUGGAAUACUAGAACGAAGCUCAAAAUGCUUCGGUCCUUUGCUGACAAACGUCACGCUUUCUCUUUUAGAUGGAAUUCUCGCUUCUCUAAAAAUGCUAUGCAAACUGAUCAACUAGCUAAUAAAGAACUACCUAGCAAAAAAUGUACUGUGUAAAUCCCUUUUGAGGAUUUUUCCAACUCUGUAUCGUCACAUUUUAUUUAAAUAAAUUUUCACUCUUGAGCGAUUUUUCUGGAAAAAAAAAAAGAAAAGAAAAAAAAAACAAAGCAUUUGAAAUGAAGUCGGUAAGGGAAUGGGACCAUACAGGAAUACUAAGGUUGCAAUUAUCCAGUACGCUGAUGAUUCUAUCUUUUUUUGCGAGGCUAAGCGGAGCCAAAUAAGAAACCUUUUAUUUAUGUGACAAAUCUUCGAAUGGGCUUCUAGUUUAAAGAUUAAUAAAAGCAAGUCUGAGCUUUUUACCUAGGGAGGACUGAAGGGAAGGUCAAAAGAUUGGCUGACAUCCUUGGCUGUAACUUACGGUCCCUCCCGAUUCGUUAUCUGCGGCUUCCUCUCUCAAAUAGAAGUCUCUGAAGGGAAGAUUGGUGGUCCAUCAUAGGUAAAGUCGAGAAAUGAAUUGAAAGGUGGCAGGCUAAACUCCUUUCUCAAGGCGGUAGAUUAGUGUUGGUGAACUUGGUGCUCGCAAACCUGCCAUUAUACUUCCUCUCAGUGUUCCGUGCACCCAGAUGGGCUCUUCGAUGUAUUGAAGCCUUACAGCGGGCCUAUUCUGGAAGGGAGGAUCCGUCAUCGCGGGUGGUAACUAUCUCUUGCAGUGGAAAGCGGUUUGCAGGAGCAAAAAAAGGGCGGUCUAGGAAUUAAGAACUUGAAUGAUAUGAACAUAGGUCUUUUGGCAAAAUGGUGGUGGAGAUUCCUCUCGAAUUCAAGCCAUCAAUGGGGCAACCUUCUUAAAGCCCUAUACUACUCUGGGAGGAGAGAGCUGAGGGAAGGAUCAUCUUUCAGACCACACUCCCAGUGGUGGCGAAACGUUCUAGGAACUAAAAAUAUCUUCAAAUGUAGUAUCUUUUACUCUAUUGAGGAUAACUGAAGUAUGAAUUUCUGGACGGACAUUUGGAGCGAUCAAGCCCCCUCGAGUUCCAUAUUCUCCCACAUCUUUACGGACAUAGCACAUAAAAGCUGCCAAGUGAAUGAAUGCAACGACGAGACUGGGUGGAAGUGGGAAGUUAUCCUUGAGGACUUCAACCCAAAGAUGACAUCUGAUAGAGAAUCGGUACGAGAACUGAAAGAAGUGUUGUCUACCCUCACUUUGAAUAGCAGUAAGGACAAGGUUAGGUGGAGAUGGGCCCCAUCGGGAGUGUUUUCUGUCAAGUUUUUCUAUAACUUCUUGCAGGUGGGCUUCACACAGCUAUGGAACUCUGCAUCCCUUUGAAAGUAAAAAUAUUUGUAUGGCUAGUUUUGAAAAGUAAGAUACUUACGAUCGACAAUCUACAUAAAAGAAGUUGGCUGGGAGAGCAGGACUAUGUUCUCUGCUUAGACACGGAAGAAACGAUCGACCAUUUUUUUGCCAUGUGUGAAAUGACUAGGAUCUUAUUGGAGUGUUUGAUGUCCAAUAAAAAGGGAACACUAUGCCACACUUUAGUUUACACUUUCUGGGAGACGAGUUGACUUACAGGAGGCGCAAUACGUACGUGCGAAGGAACUAAAGACAAUUGCCUGCAUAUGGUGGGUAAUCUGGCUCGAACGGAACAGACGUAUCCUCCAAAAGAAAAAACUUGCGCUAAAGAAGAUGUUAACAGACGUCCAUAUGGUGCGGGAACAGUCAGGUAGAUUUGGUGUAACGUAAAUAUUCCUCCUAACGGCCUCCAGCAACGCGGUUUCUCUUCAAGUGGUGAGGCCUUUCUUCAUCCUUCUUUCCUCUUGUACUAUGGGAGGGAUCCUUCUUCUCCCCUUUCUAUUUUUCCUUACCUGUGUUUUCUUUUUCUCCUUUUCCCCUUCGAUUUACUAAGGAUCUAGCAGCCUCACUCUGUAGCCAAGUUCAUUAUCUAACUGAAUGAAGCGGUAGCAUGCUACCAUUCUCUCAAAAAAAUGAAAAAAAAGCUAAAUUACACCUGUGCAAUUUUAGAUACUCAUUGUUUUUAGCAUUGUUAAAUGAGAUGGAAGGAAAUAAGAAGAAAAAUAGUCUCAUUCUUGGUUUCAAUGAUGAACUGAACGAAAAUUAGACAUAAGGAAAUAAAGAUGGGAUCAGAUGGAGCCGCGUCUCCUUGCACUACCAAAUCAAUAAUAAUUAAUUCACAACCUGCUAAUUAAAUUUUUUUUUUUAGAGUGAAAGGUUGCAUGCUAUUCGUUUUGUUCGUUUUUUUAUAAAUAAAAUUAAUUAAAAAUAUAAAAUAAUUAGACUUCGAACUUGACAUAUGAAAUACCAACUAUCAACUCUUCUACUAGCUGCUAACUCAAAUGUAAUUGGCAUCUUUCCCACAUUUUAAUAUUUUCCUUUUGAAAUGCAUUGGGGUCUAUACACCAUAAGAAAUUAAAAAGCAAUACACAAAGGGUAAACUUCAAAUACCAUCUCUGUGGUUUCGCACUUUUUUCAUUUUAGUACCAUGUGGUUUAAAGUAUAUCAAUUUAGUAUUCUAUAGUUUUUUCUUCUUUUUUUUUUUUGUCAGCUCCUCCAUUAACAUUUUGUUAAAUUAUAUACAAAAAAUUUCAGAUAUCCAUCUAGAUUUAUCAAAUAUUCACUUUAAUAUCUUUUAGUUUUAACUUUAUCAUGAUUUAACGAAAAAAAAUAAAAAAAGGGGAUAAUAAAAAUAAAAAAAUUAAAACCACAAGUUACUAAAUUGAUACACUUUAAAUCACAUAGUACUAAAAUAAAAAAGUAUAAAACCACAGGAGUGAUAUUUAAAGUUUUUCCAUACACAAAUGCAUACUACACAUUCCUACAGACACCACUUGGUUUACUUUUUACAACUGUGAAGCUGAUCGUCAAGCUCUCAUUUAUUCAUUUUCUAAACACUUUCGUUUUAUUUGCGACAAAUUUCCAGGCAACAAUAUUUGAAUACUAAAUCAAUUGAUCGAGGUAUUAGCGUUCCAGAUGGCCUGGAGCACCUUCGCAAACUCUACCAGCUUGUCGACUUCUGGGAUCAGUUCCUUCACGAUCGCGAGAGAGUAGAACCGCUCUGCCCAUUCAGCUAAGAGAGGAAACUUCGCCCCGUCAAUGAGUUUGAUAUCCGAUAUCUUCUCUAUCGCCUUCACCCAGCCCAAAAAGCUCCCAAGAACAAUGUCGAGGUAGCCCACAUUAUCUCCACCGAAGAAGGGCUUUUCUUUGUAGCUUUUCUCAUAAGCCUCUUCUAGUAAAGUAAGUCCUGCGAACGAUUGUUCUACAGCUUCUGCUUUCUCUUUUUCUGUCUUUGCUUUUAUAAUCUCUCUUGUGAUGGGAAACCACUGCAUUCAAAGAGAAGUGGGGAUAUGGAAGAAAACUUCAUAAAACUUUUCGAUUUAUUGCAAUAUCAAAAAAAGCCUUUUUGCUUAAAAUAUUUAUUGAUUAUUGAUUUUGGACCUUUAUAAAUCUAAUACACUUUUUAGGAUUUUCCAGAUUUGAUUUUUUUUCAAAAAAAUAACCAAACUAUACUGUUUUACUUUUCAAAAUAUUUAAUGCGUAUACCUUUUAUAUAUUAUUUGUACUUUUCAAAAUAUUUAAUGUGUAUGACUUUUAUACAAUUUGAAGGAGACAUAGUUUGGCCAUGUAUUUGAAAAGAUGGACCGAAUAUGUAAAAUCUUAAAAAAUUGAUCAGAUUUGCAAAAGUACAAAAUCCAUAAAUUCUUUAUAUAUACCAAAAAAAGACCAUCAAACAAGAACCAACAUUCUAAAAAAGUUAGAAAUAUUGAAAUAUUAUACACCGCUACUCAAAAUUCUAUAAUUGAGACUUAAAUUCAAAAUCCUUCCAAAUCCGAGGCCGUGCCUUAUUAUUAGAUCCCAAUGGCGUGGCUAUUCGAAGUAGCAAAUCAUGUAGAUCUUAACGCUCGACGUGAUUGAAACAAUUUUUGCUGAAGUAAAAGUAGGAGCAAACAAAAUUACAAGCCUAGAAUAACAUACCUUGUCAUCUAUAUAGCCAGCCCAAAAGCGCGCGAUGGCGCGAUCAUAUGGAUCAGGCGGAAGCAACGAGGGCCCAGUUCCGGCCCAAACUUCGUCAAUGUACUGCAGGAUGAUCGCGGACUCGCAAAUGGGCCGAUUCUUGUGGAUCAAAACUGGCACCUUCUUGUACACAGGGUUAGAUUUGAGGAGGAGCUCACUCUUAUUUUCCAAAAGUUGUUGCUCCAGAUAUUCGUAGCUCACCCCCUUGAGUUCUAAAGCAAUUUUCACUCUAAGUACGUAGGGGCUCGGCCAUGCUCCGAGGAGCUUCACUUCAUCUCCUGACCCUGCCAUAUUAUAUGGGAAAUUGUUUCCCUACAAGAUAGAAAAGUUAAUUAAGUAAACAAUAUUAUAGAGGUGCAUGUGCAGCGAAUUUGCUGUGGAUUCUGGGGCUUGUGUUGAUGUGGGUAUUUAUAGAGAUAAAGAGAGGUGUUAAAUGAGUGGUUGGAUAGGUGAGGUUGUGUGGUGUAUGACAUUUGUGGAGCUUGGCAAAGAGAAAUGUUAAUUAUACAAUUCAAAAGUUUGAUAUAAAACUUAUAAUUUUUCGUCUAAGAGUACAAACACUAGUAUGAAAAAAAAUAAUUCUUUAACAAAGAGAGUGGAACAUUUUAAUAGCUAAAGGAAACGAAAGCAAAAGUGAUUAUUUAAUAGUGGCGAGCGAAAUAGGGGCAAUGUAAACGAUAAAAAUGGAGUUGUAGGAGAGUAAUACAAGCAUCGUGCUGUUAGGCGAAGCGGUAGAGUACUGCAACUUAGAUGGUUAGAAUCUAGUUGCUCCUUAUUGAACGGGCGCCAUAAGUAAUUAUAGAAAAAUAAUUUGGGUGUUAAUUUCUUUAAUGAGUCUAAGAGGUAAAAUAUUGUCAAUUUUUAAAUUUUUUUAUCAAAACUUUUUUUAUAAAAUUUAAUGUUUAGAAACCAGAUUAGGGUGUCGUUAUUAUGAGUCAACUAUUUUUCGGGUCAAAGUAUGCUUGUGUACUUUUCCAUUUAGGAUUUGCUCUUGUUUCGUCACUGCUGUUGUAUGCUAAUUUGUCAUUAAUUGGUCCAGCAGAAGAAAAUAUUACUUCGAAUAAAUUACACCACCAGGCCCCAAACUUUGAGUUAGAUUUCACUUUAGUUUUUAUCUGAGAUUAAAAAUUAUUGCUCAUAUCUAAUUCAACUAUUUUUUCGUAUUAUAAACUUAUCACUUUUACAUCCAUCUCAUAUUUUUAAUUUAAAAAUAUAAUUUUUAAAUAAAAAAUAAUAACUAGAUAUGUGGUAUGAUUGAAAUAUGAGAUGAAGAAAUAUUAGAUAAACACGAGAUAUGUAACUGUUAAAACACACGGGUUGUCCAUUAUCUUUAAUAGUAAAUAUAUAUAUAUAUAUAUAUAUAUAUAUAAAAACUAAAGUGAAAUUCUUUUAAAGGUUUAGUAAUUAGUAUAACAUCAAAAUUGAAAGUUUGAGAAGGAAAAUAAAAUUUGGCUGAAAAUUUAAUUAUGGACCGAAUGUUUGAGACUAAAGUAAAUGGCUGAGAAUUUAGGACUAAUGGUGCAAUUCACUCAAUAUUUUUUCUCGUGAUUUUUUUUCUUUUUCAUUUUUUUUUUUUUAUUUCGGUGGUCGGGGUGGGGAGGGGACUUUUCUAUUGCGCUCUGCUUGCAGAAGAAGAUUAUGACUUGUUGCUGCAUUGAUGUCGUCACUGCUGUCGGUGGCCAGUCAACCAUGCCCUUUUGAUAAUUGAAUGGGUGAUACAUAUCUUAAAACAAUAUUAGCCCAAACAUUUUGGGACAAAUUGGUAACUUAUAUUACUUUUCGAAUGGGGUAAACUUUAAAUUAUUCAUAUUGAUACAGCGUAAUUUUUACUUUACUCAAUGAUUUAAAAAGCUACAUUUUCCUUAAAAAAAAAAAAAAAAUUUACUAAGCUAUAAUUUGCAUUUUCAGUGGUUUUAGCUCAAUUUUAUUUUGCCACUCUGUGUGGUUUAGAGAAUUACACUUAACUAUCUUGUAAUUUAGCAUAUUUUUACUUUUGCAUUAUGUGAUUUUUCAAAAAUUUUUAUUUUGCCACCCUCUUUGAUAUAAAUUUUUUUUUAUAAAAUAAAAAAUUUUAAUCAUAAGAGGACAAAGUGUAAUUUUUUAAAUCACCACAUGGCAACAUGAAAUAGGUUUUUUUUUUUUUGGGAAAACUUCAAAAGCCCCCCAUGGUUUCACACUUUCUCACUUGAGUGCCCUGUGGUUUAAAAUGUAUCAAUUUGGUGCCAUGUGGCUUCAUUUUUAUUUUUUUAUUAUCAAUUUUACUAAUUUUUUUUUUUUUAAAUCAGUGACAAAGUUAAAACUAAAGGAUACUAAAGUGAAUAUUCGAUAAAUCUAGGUGAGUAUUUGAAGUUUUUUAUAUAUAAUUUAAAUAUUAACGAAAAAGCUAUAGAAAAGAUAAAAAUGAAAUCACGGGUUACCAAAUUGAUAUACUUUAAACCACAGUGCACUCAAGUGAGAAAGUGCAAAACCACAGGGAGGGUUUUUGAAGUUUUUUCUUUUUUUCUUUUUGAGUACAAUGACUUGGUUGGCCCCGUUUGAUACUACAUGAGUUCUACAGUUCUAAUUAUGAGGACAAUUUUUUAACCGUUUAUUAUCAAAUCAAAAUUUUUGAAUAAUGUAACAUCAGAUCGACUCCGUUCUAUGUUUCCUCCAUUUCAAAAGAUUCCGAGGUUGAUUUCUUAAAAAUUAAUUUAUUCGAUGUUGGACGCUGCCAGUGUGAUUUAUGCAAAACGAUUUUGAGUGAUACAGCCGAUUCAACAUGAUUUAUGCAAGACGAUUUCGAAAAAUACAAUCGAUUCAACAGUUGGAAUGUAUUUGAACACCGUUCUGAAUAGAUGGACGGUAUUGAACAUCUUUUUAUUAUAUAUAUAUGGAGGGGGUGGUGGUGGGGUUUGUCAAAGAGUUCUACUUGGACUACUGUCGAUAGUAAACGGCUUAACUUACUACCGAUUUUGUUUGCAAUAAUAAAGCUUCCAAAUAAACAACCGGCACUAUUGAACAUAAUUUAGACCAUUUAAACUAUCUAAAAAUUAUAUUUCAUCCUUUUCUAAUUUUGUUCUCUUAUUCAUCAAGUAAACAGAAAAUAAAUGGCUGAAAAUAAAUAUCCUUCAAAAAAUUAUGAUACAAUUUUUGCUUUUAAGAUCUUGAGUCUAAAUCUUGUUUUAAAUAAUUAUAAAAAUUUACAAAUAAAAAUUCAACUGAUUUGAACAUUUUAUGCCGUUAAGCUAGCAAACGCACAACAUUGACCCUUAAAAUUACAAACUUUUUUGACCUUUUGAUUGUUUUGUGAUAUCGAAAAAACAUGAAUUAGAUUGUAAGACUUAAAUAUAGCGAUCUAACAAAUUUAAAUAAAUAAUUAUAACAAAUUAUAAGUAAGGUCACCCAUUCUAUGAUUACUCUAAUUCUAGCACAUUUAACUCUUUUAAUAUUUUGGAUCUAACCAUCGCCCAAAUGUUAUAGUCGGAUUAAAAGAUUUAGCCUUAUUAUAUCUCAUAUAUAUAACUAUUUGUCUAUUUCUAACCCAGAAUAUCACAUUUCUUCGGCCCCUAAGCCCUGCCCUCGUAAGGCUCAAGCAUACUCACAAAUACCAGUCAAUAUGAGACUCGCCUCGCUAGUUUUAGCCGAUCCUAUGGUAGCCGCACUCCACCUACAACGGGUCAUCAUUAGGGGAGCUACGCUCUAUCCACUGUAUAAUUCUGGCUCAGUCGAGACUUAUCUCAUAUUUUCAGUUGGUGCUUAGAUUUGAAACCAAUUGGAAUACCCUACUUUCCAGAGAGUCAUCCAUCGUAGGACUACUUUAAUCCUAACAUGCUUAACUCUUUUAAUGUCUUGAACUUAACCACCAAACAAAGUACCAUAAUUAGAUUAAGAGAUUUAACUCUAUUGUAUAUCAUUUAUAGAAUUAUUUCAAAUUCCGAAGAAUUGUCACAUAAAAUUUGAAGAUAAUAUUAUCACUCGCCUCAUGGUCAUAUUCUAGUGAUCGCAGUUGCCCUCUUUAAUAUUGCCAAAAUAAGUUAUAUCUCUCUUUCCGUACCAUAACAUUGAAAAUAUACACGGAGAAUGAAAUUGAUUUGCACUAUUUUCAAAGAUCACUAAUCAUACUUUUCCUUUUAUUAGGGUUUUGCUUGAUUGUGUCAUUGCUGUUGUGUGCUCAUUUGUUCGUUAAUUAUCUCACAAAUUUUAAACGAGAAUCUACACUUUGUGUGCAUGGUGGUUUCUUAGUUUUUUUUUUUUUAAAAGUCAUUACUUGAAAUAAGAGUGAAAUUCAAGGUGCAGUUAAAUCAUCUGCCCUUUUGAAAGUAAAAAAAAAAAUUAAAAAAAAAAACAUUUGAACAUGAGGGGUGAUUUUUAUUAGAAGUUAUUGAACUCUUUUUUGCACUUACAGUUCAAAUAUAAGCUGUUAUUAGAUUUGCUCUGUCUCUCGUAUUAGAUGCUCAUUAUUUUUACUUUUGUUAGAUGAGAAGGAAGGAAAUAAAAAUAAAAAUAUUGUCCCAUUCUUGUUUCCAGAACUGAACAAAUAUUAAACAUGAGGAAAUUAAGAUGGGAUAUGAUCAAGCCGAGUUUUUUAUUAGGUUUAAUUUGUUAACCUCAGAUCUAGAGUCAAGUUUUCUUUUUUUUUCAAAAAAAACUCCAAUUACAAACUAGAACUAAUAUAGUAAACGAUAUUAGGAUUUUUUUUUUUUUCACUACCAAAUCAAUGACAAUUAAUUCAUAACCUGCUAAUUGAAAUAUUUUUUUGCCACGUGUGAAAUGACUAGGAUCUUAUUGGGGUGUCUGAUGUGCAAUAAGAAGGGAACACUAUGCCACACUUCAGUUUACACUCUCUGGGAGAUGAGUCGACUUACAGGAGACACAAUACGUGCGAAGGAACUAAAGACAAUUGCCUGCAUCUGGUAGGUAAUUUAGCUCAAACGGAACAGACGUAUCUUUCAAAAGAAAAAACAUUCGCUAAAGCAGAUGUUAAUAGACGUCCGUAUGGUGCGGGAUCAGUCAAGUAGAUUUGGUAUAACGUAAAUAUUCCUCUUGACGGCCUCCAGUAGCGCGGUUUCUCUUCAGGUGGCAAGGCUUUUCUUCGUCCUUCUUUCCACUUGUACUAUGGGAGGGAUCCUUCUUCUCCUCCUUCUGUUUUUCCUUCCAUGUGUUUUCUUUUUCUCCUUUUCCCCUUCAAAUUUACUAGAGACCUGGCAGUCUCUCUCGGUAGUCAAAUUCAUUAUCUAAAUGAAUGAAGUGAUAGCAUACUACCAUUCUCUCAAAAAAAAAAAAAAAAAAACUAAAUUACACCUGUGCACUUUUAGAUACUUAUUGUUUUUAGCAUUGUUAAAUGAGUAAGAAGAAAAAUAGUCUCAUUCUUGUUUUCAGUGAUGAACGGACUGAAAAUUAGACAUGAGAAGAUUAAGAUGGGAUAGAAUCGAGCCGCGUCUCCUUGCACUACCAAAUCAAUAACAAUUAAUUCAUAACCUGCUAAUUAAAAUAUAAUUUUUUUUUAGAGUGAAAGGUUGCAUGAUAUUUAUUUUGUUUAUUUUUUUAUAAAUAAAUUUAAUUAAAAAUAUAAAAUAAUUAGACUUUGAACUUGGCAUAUAGAAUACCAACUAUCAAUCUUCUACCCGCUGUUAACUCAACUGUAGUUGGCAUCUUUCCCACAUUUUAAUAUUUUUCUUUUGAAAUGCAUUGGGGUCUAUACACCGUAAGAAAUUACAAAGCAAUGCACAAAGGGUAAACUUCAAAUAGCUUCUUCGUGGUUUCGCACUUUUUCACUUUAGUACCAUAUGGUUUAAAGUGUAACAAUUUAGUACCCUGUGGUUUUAUUUUUCUUUUUUUGUCAGUUCCUCCAUUAAUAUUUUAUUAAAUUGUAUACAAAAAAUUUUAGAUACUACAUCUAGGUUUAUCGAAUAUUUAUUUUAAUAUCUUUUAGUUUUAACUUUAUCAUGAUUUAGCGAAAAAAAUUAGUGAAAGGAGAUAAUAAAAAGAGAAAAAUGAAACCAUAAUGUACUAAAUUGAUACACUUUAAAUUACAGGAUACUAAAAUAAAAAAGUAUAAAACUACAAAAGUGAUAUUUAAAGUUUUUCCGUACACAAAUGCAUACUACACGUUACUACAGACACCACUUGGUUUACUUUUUACUACUGUGCAGCUGAUCAUCAAGCUCUCAUUUAUUCAUUUUCUAAACACUUUCAUUUUAUUUGCGACAAAUUUCUAGGCAACAAUAUUUGGUACUAAAUCAAUUGAUCGAGGUAUUAGCAUUCCAGAUGGCCUGGAGCUCCUUCAAAAACUCUACCAGCUUGUCGACUUCUGGGAUCAGUUCCUUCACGAUCGCGACAGAGCAGAACCGCUCCGCCCAUUCAGCUAAGAGAGGAAACUUCGUCCUGUCAAUGAGUUUCAUAUCCAAUAUCUUCUCUAUCGCCUUCACCCACCCCAAAAAGCUCCCGAGAACAAUGUCGAGGUAGCCCACACUAUCUCCGCCGAAGAAAGGCUUUUCUUUGAAGCUUUUCUCAUAAGCCUCUUCUAGUAAAGUAAGUCCUGCGAACGAUUGUUCUACAGGUUCUGCUUUAUCUUUUUCUGUCUUUGCUUCUAUAAUCUCUGCUUUUGUAAUAUCUCUUGUGACGGGAAACCACUGCAUUUAAAGAGAAGUGGGUAUACGGAAGAAAACUUCAUAAAACUUUUCAAUUUAUUGCAAUAUCAAAAAAAGCCUUUUCGCUUAAAAUAUUUAUUGAUUUUGCACCUUUAUAUAUCUAAUCCACUUUUUAGGAUUUUUCAGAUUUGAUCUUUUUUUAAAAAAAUAACCAAACUAUACCAUUGUACUUUUCAAAAUAUUUAAUGUGUAUACCUUUUAUAUAUCAUUUGUACUUCUCAAAAUAUUUAAUGUCUAUAACUUUUAUACAAUUUGAAGGAGGGAUAGUUUGGCCAUGUUUUUGAAAAGACAAGCCAAAUAUGUAAAAUCUUAAAAAGUUGAUCAGAUUGAUUUGCAAAAAUGCAAAAUUUAUAAAUUCUUUUAUACCAAAAAAAGACUUUCAAACAAUAACCAACAUUCUAAAAAAGUUAGAAUUGAAAUAUUAUACACCACUAUUCAAAAUUCUGUAAUUGAGACUUAAAUUCAAAAUCCUUCCAAAUCCGAGGCCGUGCCUUAUUAUUAGAUCCCAAUGGCUUAGCUAUUAGAGGUAGCAAAUCAUGUAGAUCUUAUUGUUCUACGUGAUCGAAGCAAUUUUUGCUGAAGCAAAAGUAGGAGCAAACAAAAUUCCAAGCUUAGAAUAACAUACCUUGUCAUCUAUAUAGCCGGCCCAAAAGUGCGCGAUGGCGCGAUCGUAUGGAUCAGAUGGAAGCAACGAGGGCCCAGUUCCGGCCCAAACUUCGUCGAUGUAUUGGAGGAUGAUCGCGGAUUCGCAAAUUGGCCGAUCCUUGUGGAUCAAAACUGGCACCUUCUUGUACACUGGAUUGGAUUUGAGGAGGAGCUCACUCUUAUUUUCCCAAAUCUCUUGCUCCAGAUACUCGUAGCUAACCCCCUUGAGUUCUAAAGCAAUUUGUACUCUAAGAACGAAGGGGCUGGGCCAUGCUCCAAGGAGCUUCACUUCAUCUCCUGACCCUGCCAUAUUAUGUGGGAAAUAGUUUCCCCUACAAGAUAGAAGAGUUAAUUAAGUAAACAAUAUUAUAGAGGUGGGCAACGAAUUUGCUGUGGAUUCUGGAGCUUGUGUUGAUGUGGGUAUUUAUAGAGAUAAGAGAGGUGUGAAAUGAGUGGUUGGGUAGGUUAGGUUGUAUGACGUUGUGGGGGUUUGGCGAACAGAAAUGUUAUUUGUACAUUCAGGUACCGUUUGAGUCGGAUAUAAAUAAGAACUAGCUAUUAUAGGAAUAGAUACAAGUAUAGGAUAAGCAAAAUAGCGUUUGGAUAAAAAUUGAAUUAUUUCCGGGAAUAAGAAAAAUAACGUUUGAAUAGAUAAUAUGGAAUAAGAAAAAUAGUGAAUAGUUAUAUAUAGAAAAUUGAAGUAUUAGUAAGAAUAAUUAUACCGGUUUAUUUCAGAGACCCGAGAACCACUAUUCUCAGAUAGUAAAUAUAGAUAUAGAUGUAGAUAUAAAUUAUUUAAAAAUUUUUGAAAAGAUAUAUCAUUAAUAUUUUUAAUUCUUUUUUCUAAUUUUCUACCCGUCGCAUCGCACGGGUUACUACACUAUUAGUCAUUAAUUGAUCCAGCAGAAGAAAAUAUUACUUGAAUAAAGAAAAUAUUACUUGAAUAAAUUACAUUACUAGGCCCCAAACUUUUGAGUUAGCACUUUAGUUUUUAUCUGAGAUUAAAAAUUAUUGCUCAUUUCUAAUUCAACUAUUUAUUCGUACUAUAAACUUAUCACUUUUUCAUCCAUCUCAUAUUUUUAAUUUAAAAAUCUAAUUUUUAAAUUAAAAAUAAUAACUAGAUAUAUGGUACGAUUGAAACAUGAGAUGAAGAAAUAUUAGAUAAACACGGGAUGUGUAACUGUUAAAAUACACAUGCUGUCGAUUCUCUUUAUAUAUAUAUAUAUAUAUAUAUAUAUAGAGAGAGAGAGAGAGAGAGAGAGUUGAGCUAGAAUAUUCUCAAAAGCACGAAGGGGUGGUGCUUUUGAGUUUUUAACCAUUAGAUUGAGAGAUGUAGGAUUGAGAUGAUGGUGGUAGGUGAUUGUAGGUGAUGGUAGAUAGAAUAGUGUUUGACCCAAGAGGUAUUAGUAAUGAAGGAAUAGAUUCAAGGAUUAUAAACUUAGAAGCACCAAGGGGUUGUGCUUCUAAAGAUAUUCUAGCUUAAUUUUAUAUAUAUAUAUAUAGCCCGGCUACUAUACUAUUAUAAAUACAUACAAUCAUCGCUUUCGUACUCAUAAGUUAUUUUCGAUGAUAGAGCUUCCGAAUCGACGAUCCAUACUGUUAAACAUUAUCUAGAGCAUUUAAAACUUCUAAAAAUCAAAUUUUAUAAUUUUUCGAUAUCAUUUACCUUACGAUCAAAAGCUGACAAAAUUGAAAAUUUUUAACGACCGGUAUGGGAUACUUGCUAGUUUAAUGGUGUAAAAGAAUAGAAAUAGGUUGAAUUUUUGAUAGAAAAUUCUAUUCACUACCUAAAUAAAGGUGAAUAACUCCGAUCUUAAAUUGAAGGGCCCGAUCAUCCAUUUUUAGGAUGUCGUUCGAUUUUGACCAUUCAUUUUAUACACGCUUGAUAGACUUUAUGAUAAUUUAGAAAAAUUACGAAAUAUAUUUUCUAAAAGUUUCAAAUACUCUAAAUCAUAUUUAACGGUGUGAAUCGUCCAUUCGAAAGCCCUAACAUAAAAAAUAACUUAUGAGUACGAAAGGCUCUAUACUUAUAAGAGUAUAGUAACCCUACUUUAUAUAUAUAUAUAUAUAUAUAUAGAGAGAGAGAGAGAGAGAGAGAGAGAGAGAGUUGAGCUAGAAUACUCUCAAAAACACCAUGAAGAUGGAGCUUUUGAGUUUUUAAACAUUGGAUGAAGAGAUAUGAGGUUGAGAUGAUGGUGGUAGGUGGUGGUAGUUGAAAUAGUGUUUGAUCCAAAGGCUAUUAGUAAUCAAGGAGUAGAUCCAAGAGCUAGAAACUUAGAAGCACGAAGGGGUCAAUGUGAGGUUCGUCUCACUAGUUUUAGCCGACCUUAUGAUAGCCGCACUCCACCUAGCUACAAUGGGUCAUCAUCUGGAAAGAUGCGCUCUACCCGCUGUAUAAUUCUGGCUCACCUACAACAGGUCAUCAUCCGGAAAGCUGCGCUCUACUCGCUAUAUAAUUCUGACUCAGUCGAGACUCAUCUCAUACUUUGUACUGGUGAUUAGCUUUGAAAUCAAUUGUAAUACCCAACUAUUCUAAUCCUAUGCCCUUUUGAAAGUAAAAAAAAAAAAUUAAAAAUUAAAAAAAAGAAGCAUUUGGACAUGAAGGGUGAUUUUUAUGAGAAGUUAUUGAACUCUUUUUUGCACUUAUAAUUCAAACAUAAGCUAUUAUUAGAUUUGCUCUGUCUCUCGUAUUUAUCUUACUAUUAUGAAAAAGAAAUUUAUGCUGAAUCACAUCUGUGCACUUUUAGAUGCUUAUUAUUUUUACUUUUGUUAAAUGAGAAAGGAAGGAAAUAAAAGUAAAAAUAUCGUCUCAUUCUUUUUUUCUUCUUUUUUUUUUAAGAGAGAGAUAGAUAGUAUACUACCCGCUUCGUUUAUUUCUUUUAGAAAUAAACUUAGCUAAAAAUGCCAAUCAACUAGAAUUCGAAUUUGGAAACUUGGAUACCAACUAUCAAAUCUUUUGCCACUUGCGUCAGGACCUGACAGUCUCAUUCUUGUUUCCAGUGAUGAACUAAACAAAUAUUAAACAUGAGGAAAUUAAGACGGGAUCUGAUCAAGCCGAGUUUUUUAAUGAGUUUUUUAUUACGUUUAAUUUGUUAACUUCAGAUCCAGAGUCAAGUUUUUUUUUUUUAAAAAAAAAACUCCAAUUACAAACUAGAACCAAUAUAGUAAACCACAUUAGGAUGUUUUUUUUUUUUUUUUUUUUUUUGAAAGCCUUGACCCCAAGGGAUGUCAGAUCCGUCACAAAUACGGAAANAGAGAGAGAGAGAGAGAGAGAGAGAGAGAGAGAGAGAGAGAGAGAGAGAGUGUUGAGCUAGAAUAUUCUUAAAAGCACCAUGAAGAUGGUGCUUUUGAGUUUUUAGACAUUGGAUGAAGAGAUAUGAGGUUGAGAUGAUGGUGGUAGGUGGUGGUAGGUGAAAUAGUGUUUGACCCAAAAGCUAUUAGUAAUCAAGGGGUAGAUCCAAGGGUUAGAAACUUAGAAGCACCAAGGGGUCAAUGUGAGGUUCGUCUCACUAGUUUUAGCCGACCUUAUGACAACCGCACUCCACCUAGCUACAACGGGUCAUCAUUUGGAAAGAUGCGCUCUACCGGCUGUAUAAUUCUGGCUCACCUACAACAGGUCAUCAUCUGGGAAACUGCGCUCUACCCGUUAUAUAAUUCUGGCUCAGUCGAGACUCAUCUCAUACUUUCGACUGGUGAUUAGCUUUGAAAUCAAUUGUAAUACCCAACUACUCUAAUCCUAUGCCCUUUUGAAAGUAAAAAAAAAAAUUUAAAAAUUUAAAAAAAAGAAGCAUUUGCAAAUGAAGGGUGAUUUUUAUGAGAAGUUAUUGAACUCUUUUUUGCACUUAUAGUUCAAACAUAAGCUAUUAUUAGAUUUGCUCUGUCUGUCGUAUUUAUCUUACCAUUAUGAAAAUAAAAAAAAUAUACUGAAUCACAUCUGUGCACUUUUAGAUGCUUAUUAUUUUUACUUUUGUUAAAUGAGAAAGGAAGGAAAUAAAAAUAAAAAUAUUGUCUCAUUCUUUUUUUCUUUUUUUUUAAGAAAGAGAUAGAUAGUAUGCUACCCGCUUCGUUUAUUUCUUUUAGAAAUAAACUUCGCUAAGAAUGCGAAUCAACUAGAAUUCGAACUUGGAAACUCGGAUACCAACUAUCAAGUCCCUUGCCACUUGCGUCCGGGACGUUCUCAUUCUUGUUUCCAGUGAUGAACUAAACAAAUAUUAAACAUGAGGAAUUAAGACGGGAUCCGAUCAAGCCGAGUUUUUUAAUGAGUUUUUUAUUAUGUUUAAUUUGUUAACUUCAGAUCCAAAGUCAAGUUUUUUUUUAAAAAAAAAAAAGAACUCCAAUUACAAACUAGAACCAAUAUAGUAAACCACAUUAGGCUGUUUUUUUUUUUUUUUUCCCGUUCACUACCAAAUCAAUGACAAUUAAUUCAUAAUCUGCUAAUUGAAAUGUUUUUUUUUUUUAGACAAAAGUAGAAUGAUACAUGUUUAGUUUAUUUAUUUUGAAAAUAAAUUUAACUAAAAAUAAAAAAUAAUUAGACUUAAAACUUAGCACAUGGAUCUGAUACCAACCAUCAAGUCAAAAGGCCAUUUAUUUAGUCUGUAAUUGGCAUCUUUCACACUUUCUAAUAUUUUCUUUUUGAAAUGUUUUGGGGUCUUUAUACUGCAAGAAAUUACAUAGCAACACACAAAUGCAUGCCACACAUGCUACAGAUACUACUUGGUCUAUUUUUACUACUAUAUUUGUAGCUGAUCAUCAAACUCCCAUUUAUUCAUUUCCCAAACACUUUGCUUUUAUUCGCAACAUAUUUUCUUGCUAUAAUAUUCGGAUAUUAAAUCAGUUGCCCGAGGUAUUAGCAUUCCGGAUAGCCUGGAGCUCCUUCCAAAACUCUACCAGCUUGUUGGUUUCUGGGGUCAAUUCCUUCACUAUCGUGAUGGCGGAGAAGCGCUGCGCCCAUGCAGCUAAGAGAGGGAAUUUUGUCUCGUCGAUGAGUUUGAUACCUGAUAUCUUCUCUAUCGUCUUCUCCCAGCAUAGGGCGCUCCCAAAAACAAUAUCGAGAUAGCCAACAUUGUCUCCGCCGAAGAAGGGUUUUCCUUUAGAGCUUUUCUCGUAAGCCUCUUCUAAUAAAUUGAGUCCUGUUAAUGAUUGCUCUACAGCUUCUGCUUUCUCUUCUUCCGUCUUUGCUUUCAUAAUCUUUGUCGAAGAAGGAAACCACUGCAUAUAAUUAAACAAAGGUGGGGAUAGUGAAGAAAAUUUCAUAAGACCUUCUUAUUUAUAGCAAUAUCAUGCCUUACCACUGGAUCCAACAGCUUAGUUUCAUGGGUCAAAAUUUAGAUGCUAUAUUUACGCUUUUUUUUUACAAAUCCAAACGCCCUACUCAACCAAAUUAUUGACUCUUGCUGAAGCAGAAGCAAAAAUAGGACCAAACAAAUACCAAGCCUAGAAUAGCAUACCUUUUCAUCAACAUAGCCGGCCCAGAAGCGCGCGACGGCGCGUUCGUAUGGAUCCGAGGGGAGAAUCGAGGGCCCAAUUCCGGCCCAAACUUCGUCGAUGUAUUGGAGGAUGAUCGUGGACUCGCAAAUGGGCCGACCCUUGUGGAUCAAAACCGGCACCUUCUUGUGCACGGGGUUGUAUUUGAGGAGGAGCUCGCUCUUAUUUACCCAGACCUCUUGCUCCAAGUACUCGUAGCUCACCCCCUUGAGCUCCAAAGCAAUUUGUACUCUAUGCACGUAGAGGCUAGGCCAUUCUGCAAGGAGCGUCACUUUAUCUCCUGACCCUGCCAUAUUAUAUGCCGAAUAGUUUUCCUGUAAGAUGGAGAAGAGUUAUGUAAACAAUUAUAUGGAGAUGGGCAACAAAUUUGGCGUGGUUUUGGGGUUUAUGUUGAUGUGGGUAUUUAUAGAGAGGUAUGAGAGGAGUGGUUGGACAUAUAGGUGAGGAAAUGUGUGGACUAUGACUUUGUGGCGGCUUAUUGAAGAAAAAUAUUAUUUGUACAACCAAAAACUUAUUAUUAUCCAAAAAUGUGCAAUAGGCUUCUCCUUAAAUGGGGGCAAAGAGGUGGGCCCAUUUUUUUCCAUUUCUCUCGCUCUCACCUAACACUUUUUCAUUUUUUUUUUUUUUCCUCUCUCAGCACUUUUUUUGGGAUUAAUUUUAGACUAAUUUGCAUAAAAAAUUCACUAAUUUUGAGCUUUUGCAAAAGUUGACCAUAUUUUUUAUUUUUGCAAAUUCGGGCCGAAUUUUUAGAAGGAUAAUCAAACUAUUCUUUUUUCAAAAUACAUAAAAAUUAUAUGCUUUAAAAACCUAGAAAAAUACAACUACUAAGACAUUAAGUGUAAAACUUAUUGAAAAUAACAACUAUUAAGCCAUAAUUAUAUAUACCUUUCUUGUGAAACGAGAAUUCUCAUUCAAAACAAAAUAAAAAGAAUAAAGUAUAAUUAAUAAGAUGAAAAAGUGCAACAUCCUCUCAAAUAGUGCAACAUGCUCUUCCAAAUAGUGCAAUAUUUAUAUAAAUAGUGCAACAUUUGCAUUGUUAAUACACAUUUUGCAUAAUUUUUACACUAAAUUACGUACAGUUUAUAAUAUAAUAUAUUAUAACAUACUAUAAAAAUUAUAUAAUAUAUGUACGAAUCGUGCAAAUUUUACACUAUUUGUACAGAUAUUUACACUAUUUGUGUACAUAUUGUACUAUUAUGAGAGGAUAUUGCACCAUUUAGAUGUGUGUUGCACUUUUUCUUUUUGAAAAUUAAAUUUCAUUGCGUAUUAAAUAAAGUGUCAAAUUUCUUGUAAAUGACAACUGCAAAGCCAUAAUUCUAUAUACCUUUCUCGUGAAACGAAAAACCUCAUUCAAGACAAAAUAAAAAGAAUAAAGAAUAAUUAAUAAGAUGAAAGAGUGCAACAUCCUCUUAAAUAGUGCAACAUGUUUUUCCAAAUAGUGCAAUAUCUGUAUAAAUAGUGUAACAUAUGUAUUAUUAAUAUUCAUUUUACAUGAUUUUUACACUAAAUUACGUACAGUUUAGUAUAUUACGCGAAAAUAAUAUAAUAUAUUAUAAUAUACUAUAAAAAUUAUACAAUAUAAGAGGAUGUUGCACCAUUUAGAUAUGUGUUACACUUUUUUUUUUUAAAAUUAAAUUUUAUUGCAUAUUAAAUAAAGUGUUAAAUUUUUUAGAAAUGACAACUGUUAAACCCUAAUUACAUGUACCUUUUUCGUGAAACGAAAAAUUUCAUUCAAGACAAAAUAAAAAGAAUAAAAAAUAAUUCAGGAUAUGCUUUAACGUUGUGAUGGUAGGUUACGAGUCAAGCAUGCGUGCGUCCUUUUUUAUUCAGGAUCUGCUUUUGUUUCGUCAUUGCUGUUGUGUGCUAAUUUGUCAUUAUUUGGUCAAUUUUAGGAGUAAAAAGUUUUAAAUAAAUGCACUACUAGUCCCCGAACUUUUUGUCAGCUUCCUAAGUAAUCUCUGAAUGGAGUUACAGACGCGUUGACGGACAUUUAAUUUUGACAUUCAAGAUCUUAAAAUUUUUGCUAACAUUUCUAAGUUAGCGCCCAAACUUUUAAAAAUAUUUUAUUUUAGUCCUUAUCAUAGAUAACCCUAAAGUGAGAUAUACAUCCAUUCUGUCUUAAGAUCAUUCUUUUCACAUUAAUUUUUUAAAAUUUUACUAAAAAUUAAUUUAAUUUUUAUCUACUCUUAAAUUAACGGUGUAAGAUAUACAACUUUUCGAGGUGUACAAAAGCAUUUUCCAAAAAAUUAUUGCUUGCACGUAGUUCAUCUGCUUGUUCUUACAUGAUAAAUUUAUUAUUUCUUCAUUCAUCUUAGACUUAUAAUUUAAAAUUUUUGACUUUUUACUUUUACCAAAUUGUAACUCAAUAGGCAAUAUUGAAAUAUGUGAUUGAAAAUAUAGUCGGGAAAUGCAUGAUGCAUACACGUACAGAUGCGGAGAGCGUAGGCAAUUAUUUAUAUAUCUUCUAACAGAAAAUAUAUAUAGAAAUUAAAAUGAAACUCUUUUAAGAAUUUAAGAACCAAUAUUGUCAAAAUUGAAAGUUUGAGCAUCAACGUACAUGUGGCUGAAGAUUCAGAAACCAAUAGCGCAAUUUAUCCAAAUAUUUUUCUAUUAUUAUUUAUUAUUAUUAUUAUUUUGAGAGAGAAGGUUUUGACUAAUGUCGUUAAUGUCACGAUUGCUGUCCGGACAACCUUACCCUACUAAUUUCAAAUUGUUAAUGCCUUAGUUUUGGUGAUAAUAUUUUAUUUUAAAACAUUAUUUGCCCAGAAUUUUGGGCUCAAAUUGAUAAUUUUUAAAUUUAAAAAAAAAAAACAAUGACUUGGAUGGCACUUGGAUGGCCCAAUCGGAUGUUACCUUAGCUCUACAUUAUAGUCAAUAUUUUAAAAUUUUAGUAGGAUAAGGAUUCGAAAAUAUUAUUGAUUGCUGGUCCAAUCAGUGGGCUAACCACUCGUUGAACGAGUGAAAUUGUUAUAAAUAUUUAAUUAUUAUUUUAAUUUUAUUAUAUAAAUAAUAUAAUAUAUUAUUAUUUUAAUAUCGUACUUAAUUAUUAUAAAAAAAUUAAUUUUUAAAUUAAAUUAAGUAGAUAUAAAAUUUUAAAUUUUACAUUUUAGAUAAUUAAUUUGUACUGAUAAAAAAUAAAAUUAGCUGAGUUAAUUUUAAAUUCUAAAGUUUUAAUGUAAUUUGAUGAAAAAAUUUAGCUGGUUUAAUAAAAACAAGACUACUCACGGGUUCAAUCGAAUCGCUAGUUCAACUAUUCAAAUUAAAUAAAAUAUCGAAAUAAAAGCCCUUUCUAUUUUUGUUUCUCUUUUUUGUGUUUUUUCUAAUCCUUUUUUCUUGUAAAAAUUUCUUUCUUUUUGAAUUUUAUGGUCCAAUUUAUAGUGAUUUAAAGUCUCUUUAUCGUGUUUAAACAUGAUGAUUGAAUUACUAUUUUUUUUUAUAUUUUUUAUCACCCUUUAAGUUAAAAAAAAAAUGUUUAAAAUAUAGAUAUGAAUACAGUAAUUCAAUCACUCGUAUUCAACUUUAAAAUACCAAUAUGAUGCUCGUGUAGGAAAAAAAAGGAUCCUUUAUGCAAAUAUAAAUUUACUAGAACCAUUUAAAAAAAAAAAUUUGAGAGGAUUAAAUAUUAAAAAAAAAGUCCAAAAAAAAAUUCUCCUCCUAACUUUUGUUUCUUUUUUCUUUUCUUUUCUUUUCUUUACUCUCCAGUCUCCAUCCAAAUGAAGUGUCAAAAGAACCACUUAUUCUAAUUCUAAAAAUAAAAAAAUAAAAAAUAUUUAUUAAAUUCCUGUAUUGCAAUAUUCAUUACCAUAUAAAAAAAAUAAAAAUUAAUUUCAUACAGAUCCAUGCAAAUAUAGUAAAUUGUAAAUAUAUCCCUAUAAAAUUUAACUUUCAUAAAUUGUUUCUGCAAAAGUCUGAUAUUUUCAAAUAUAUUCCAACCGUUAGGAUCUGUUUAAAAAAUAUAUAAUUAACAAUAGAUAAAAUACUUAACCGUAGUUAGUUAAUGAGAUGAAUUGAUCUUCUUACCCCUCUUCAAUUAAUAAUUUAGACUCUCGAAUGGGCAUAUUUGUAAUAGCAAAAAGGUCAUUUCACUUAUAAAAUAAACAGUUAUUUAACAAUAACAAAUUAAAGCAAGACUUUUACAGAAAUAAUAUAUGAAAGUUGAACUAUUUAAAGAUAUAUUUGUAAUUCACUUUGUUUAAAGAAAUCUGUAUGAAAUUAACUUACCCCUCUUCAAUUAAUAAUUUAGACUCUUGAAUGGGCAUAUUUGUAAUAGCAAAAAGGUCAUUUCACUUAUAAAAUAAACAGUAAUUUAACGAUAACAAAUUAAAGCAAGACUUUUAUAGAAAUAAUAUGUGAAAGUUGAACUAUUUAAAGAAUAUAUUUGUAAUUUACUGUGUUUAAAGAAAUCUGUAUGAAAUUAAUCUAAAAUACAAUCACACAAACACACGUCAAAAGAUAAGAAGAUUACACAAACGCACGCUACGACAAUUAAUUAACACACAUGCCAUGGAAACAAUAAUCUAUCUUUAUUACAACGAAACGCGAUCAUCAAACUGAUCACUAAAAAAGUUUAUUCAAUUUCUCAAACCAUAUACCACACUCUCCCCUGCCACCGCCACUUCCCCUCCUACGUACUACCAAACUUGCGAAUGCAAAUCAGUUAGCCGCGGCAGCAUUCAUCCUGGCCUGAACUUCUUUUGCAUACUCCAUCAGCUUCCCGGCUUCCGGCAUCAGCUUCUUCACCACCGCUGCAGCGCGAAAGCGCUCCGCCCACGCCAUCAAGAGCGGAAACUUCGCGUUGUCGAGGAGUUUGAUGCCGCGCAUGAUCUCGAUCACCUCGAUCCAGCGCAAGGAACUCCCGAGAACGAUGUCGAGGUAGCCCACAUCGUCGCCGCCGAAAAAGCGCUUCCCUCUGGAGCUCUUCUCGUAAGCUUCCUCUAAAAGCUCGAGUCCUAAAAUGGCUUGUUCUGCUGCAGCCGCGUUCUCCUCGUCUGUUUUACCUCUUAUAAGUCCAACUAAACUUGGGCCAAACUGCAUAUUUUUAAAGCACGGAAUGGAAAUGAUCAGUUUAAACUAAUAAAAUACGAUGAUAAUCAUUAGAAAAUAUAUAUAAAACUAAGGACUAUUAAAAACUAACAUGUAAUUAAAUCACCGCAAGUAACUUUUAAGUGAGAGAAACAGCUACAAAUUACUGUAACUUUUUCUGCUUACAUGGAAACAAACAAUCUCUUAUUAAACUCUAUUGGUAGCAUAUUGCUUCAUUCAUCUUAGACUUAUAAUUUAAAAUUUUUGACUUUUUACUUUACCAAAAUUGAACUCAAUAGGCAAUAUUGAAAUAUGUGAUUGAAAAUAUAUCGGGAAUGCAUGAUGCAUACACGGUACAGAUGCGGAGACGUAGAGCAAUUAUUUUAUAUAUCUCUAACAGAAAAUAUAUAUAGAAUUAAAAUGAAACUCUUUAAGAAUUUAAGAACCAAUAUUGUCAAAAUUGAAAGUUUGAGCAUCAACAGUACAUGUGGCUGAAGAUUCAGAAACCAAUAGCGCAAUUUAUCAAAUAUUUUUCUAUUAUUAUUUAUUAUUAUUAUAUUUUGAGGAGAAGGUUUUGACUAAUGCGUUAAUGUCACGCAUUGCUGCUCCGGACAACCUUACCUCUACUAAUUCAAAUUGUUAAUGCCUUAGUUUUGUGAUAAUAUUUUAUUUUAAAACAUGCGUUGAUGAACAUUUAAUUUUGACAUUUGAGAUCUUAAAACUUUUGCAAACAUUUCAAGUUAGCGCCCAAACUUUUAAAAAUAUUUUAUUUUAGUUCUUAUCAUAGAUAAAAAAAAUUAGAGCAAUGCUACAGUUACACCCUAAAGUGAGAUAUACAUCCAUUCUAUCUUAAAAUCAUUCUUAUUAUAUUAAUUUUUUUAAAAUUUUACUAAAAAUUAAUUCAAUUUUUAUCUACUCUAAAAUUGCAGGUGUAAGAUGUACACAACUUUUUGAGGUGUACAAAAGCAUUUUCCAAAAAAUUAUUGCUUGCACGUAGUUCAUCUGCUUGUUCUUACAUGGUAAAUUUAUUAUUUCUUCAUUCAUCUUAGACUUAUAAUUUAAAAUUUUUGACUUUUUACUUUUACCAAAUUGUAACUCAAUAGGCAAUAUUGAAAUAUGUGAUUGAAAAUAUAGUCGGGAAAUGCAUGAUGCAUACACGUACAGAUGCGGAGAGCGUAGGCAAUUAUUUAUAUAUCUUCUAACAGAAAAUAUAUAUAGAAAUUAAAAUGAAACUCUUUUAAGAAUUUAAGAACUAAUAUUGUCAAAAUUGAAAGUUUGAGCAUCAAAGUAAAUGUGGCUGAAGAUUCAGAAACGAAUAGCGCAAUUUAUCCAAAUAUUUUUCUAUUAUUAUUUAUUAUUAUUAUUAUUUUGAGAGAGAAGGUUUUGACUAAUGGCGUUAAUGUCACGAUUGCUGUCCGGACAACCUUACCCUACUAAUUUCAAAUUGUUAACGCCUUAGUUUUGGUGAAUAUUUUAUAUAUAUAUAUAUAAUUUUAUUUAUAAAAUAUAUUCAUUUAUUAUAUAUUUAUUAUAUAUAGUAUUUUAUUUUUAUAUAAAAAUAUUAUUAUAUAAUAUUUUAUUUAUAAUCAUAAUAUAGUUUGUUAUUUUUGUUACAUAAUUAGCUUAAUUUUAUAUUUCUUUAUUCAUAUAUUCUUAAAAAAUAUGAGUAUUUAUACUAAUAGUAUAAAUUUUGAGAGAAAAAAAUUUAAUUUAAUAGCCGAAUUUUUAAUUUCGAAUUUUUAAUUGGUGAACGUAUAAUAUCUGUAUAAAUCACGUAUCCGAAUAAUUACCGAAUCCGUUUUUUAGCCGUAUUUUUCAACGAAUUUAAAAAUUAGAAAACGAAUUUUAAUCGAAUUAUAUCCGUACCGAAUUUUUGCCGAAUCCGAAUUAACUAACUAUGAGUAAUACAAGAGCAUCGUGCUAUUAGGCAAAGCGGUAGAGUACUGCACCUUAGAUGGUUAAAAUCUAGUUACUCCUUAUUGAACGGGCACUAUAAGUAAUUAUAGAAAAAUAAUUUGGGUAUUAAUUUCUUUAAUGAGUCAUUUUUACGUCGUUAAACAAACAAACAACUUAUAUAUGAGAUAAAAUAUU
rnacentral:lncRNA from 1 species